rnacentral:lncRNA from 1 species
UUAAACUCAAAAUCUGUUGGGCAAAUAAAACACCAGGGCACAUUCUUCUUCCACUACCAAAAGGAAGCAAUUCAUAAUGGUUUCCCUUGACAUCGAUAUCCUUGUGACUUGUCAAGAAUCUCUCAGGCUUGAAUUCUUCGUGAUCCGACCAUAUAUUUGGGUCACGUUGCAUUUUCCAAAGAUUUACCAAAAGACGAGUUCCUUUUGGAAUGUUGUAGCCACCCACAAUGCAGUCGUCCAGUGAUUCAUGAGGAACAGAGAGAGGUCCAGCUGGGUAUAAUCGUAAAGUUUCUUUGAUAAUGGCAUCGAGGUAGACUAAGUUCUUCAGGUCCGACUCCUCCACCAGUCUGUCCCUUCCAACAUGCUCAUCAAUUUCAUCUUGGGCAGUUUCUAAUGCUUUUGGGUUGUUGAGUAACAAUGCUAAAGCCCACGUUAUUGUCACAGAUGUCGUGUCUACACCUCCUACUACGAGUUGCUGUCAGUAGAAAUUUACACCAAACGUUGGAUUAGGUUAUAGCUCCGUAAAAAUUAAGCUGAAAAAAUAUAUAAAUGAAUCACGUAACAAUGAGAUCAAAAAGGUUGACUUUACUAGACAUGUCGCUUUGAUAAUUGUAUCAUGGUCAAAACCCAAGAAUUCAUCUUUAGAAGCACCUCGAAGAAAGGAAAUUAGCGCAUGCAUGAAGUCUUGGUUCCCUUCAUGUUGCUGUAUAGACUUAUUCUCCUGUUUGUGCUCCUUUAACCAUCGGUCAAAGAUAUUGUCCAAAUCCUUCGCAGUAUUCUUCAUCACUUUUUUGUAUCCGCCUACAUCCAAACAGUUUAGAUAAGGUAUAAAAUCAGCAACCACAAAUGCCCCCAAUAACUCAAAGAAUUUCUUCACGACAGCCUGAAAUUGAACCCCUUCUUCAUCAUUUGGCGAAAACCUCUUUCCUGUAAUAAUCCUAACCAUAAUGUUUAGAAUUAAGGUCCCGAACCAUUGACUCAUAUCCACCUUCACCAUCUCGGAACUUUCACUAAGUUUGUUCUUUACCCAACUAUCAUAUAAAUCUUUAAUUGAUGCUCUAACUUCUGAAGCUCGGAUAUGUCCAAGCAUCUCAACUCUUCUUUGCGAAAGAACCUCCAACACAACUAUCUUGCGCACUUUUCGCCAAUAGUCCCCAUAUGGAGCCAGGGCAAACACCGCAUUAUUAUAGGCCAUGAUUUGUGAUGCCUCUGUUUUCGGUCGACUUGCAAAAGCCUUGUCGUUGGCUGUAAAGCACUCCUUAGCAAUCGCAGCAUCACUUACCACCAAAGCUUGAUGAACACCAAGCUUAAUGGUGAAAAUGGGGCCAUGUUUUUCUGCCAUGCCACCUAAAACCUUGUGAGGUAGCUCCGGUCCACCUAAAAGGUGUAAGUGUCCGAUUAUCGGCCAUGCUCCUUUUGCAUGUGGUGGCUUUUGGUACUUCCCAGCGUUUUCAUUCUUUCUGUGGAGGAUAGGGAGUAGUAAACGGUGUACAAGAAUAGAGACAAAGAUUGUUGCAACAAUAGUUGAUACUAAGAGGUAGAACUCCAUGGCUGAGUGAGCAAAUUGAAUGCAUGGUUGUAUUUAUUUGCGAACCUAUAGAUAAUAACAGUAAAUCUUAUGGUGAUCCUUUAACGAUCAAUCAUGUCAACCUUUAACAAUAAAGUGUAAAACAAAAGACAGAAAAGUUUUAUUCUUUUUAAUCAUUUACCGUUAGGCUCUUUAUAGCUUUAUGUGUGUAGGUUAAGCUCGUACCCAUGUAUAUAAACUCCAUGUUUUUCUAUUUCCAAGUAAUGAAAUGAAUCUCUCAAACAUUUCAUCAUCUAAAAUUCUAAAAGCUUCUUUUUCCCACUUUGGACAUUCGUUGUUGUAAUGACCGAAUUCACCGCAUUUGUAGCAUUUUACAUGACUCUUGUCCCGAACACGUUCCUUACCAUCUUGGCUCCUCCCGGACCCACGACCUCUUCCCCGGCCAUGUCCAAAGCCAUCCCGAUGCGAACCGCCACCGCCACAAUGUAUACAACCAUCCGACUUUUCUUCUCUUGACAACAACAACCCACCAUGAACGUCCUCCACCUUCUCGGAUGCUUUGAUGCGCUCCUCAUAUGCCUUUAGUCUACCGACGGCUUCAUCAAAAAGCAUCGUAUCCAACUCAAAGCAUUGCUCAAUCGACGCCACAAUUUGAAGAAAGGACUUGGGCAUAGAAUCAAGUAACCUUUUCACCAAGUCAACUUCUUCAAGUUCAUGUCCGAGACUCCGUGCUUUCGAAGCUAAACCACUCAACUUGGCUGCAAAAUCAUCAACGGUUUCUCCCUCCUUCAUACGCAAGCUUUCUAGUUCCCUCUUCAAAGUUGCUAAUCGAGCCGUUCUUACCAGAUCCACACCCAAAUACCGAGUUUUUAAUCCUUCCCAAACCCUUUUUGGAUCGGUGUAAUCGGACAUUUGCAACACCAUCUCUUCUGGUAUUGCUUGAAACAAGAAAGCAAGAGCUUGUUUUUUCUUCUUUGGAUCCGAUUCUCCACCCGAUGUCUUUGCUUCAACAGUCUCCCAUAUGCCAUGUGCAUCCAUGAUGGACUUUACUUUGACUGCCCAUACUGGAUAGUUGGUUGGGGUCAAAACCGGAAUCUGAUAUGACAUUGAAUCACCAUCUUUUACUGCCAACGCCAUUUUUCCUUUCUUAUGACUGCCCCAAACUUUUCAGAUCCAACCCGUUCCAAUUGAGACUCCACUUCCACCAGUCAAGAAAACCAAGCUCCUGCUUCUUCUGUUUUCUUUUACCAGCUGUGAGUAAGCAAAAUCAAAACCCACCCGUUCUGAUUUCUUUCCGCUUCUCUUCCCCGCUUCUGGUUAGGCUCUCUUUAACCCGGAACAAGGAUCAUCAAGGAUGGAGCUGCAUCUUUUCUUGUUAUAAGAACUUACACCCCCUUCAACAGAACCUUGGUGCUCUGAUACCAAAUGUUGAUUCUGAAUUCUGAAAUCUCCCACUCAAAUGUCAAAACUCACGGAUGAAAGGAAGCUCACAAUAUAAAAUAGUUAAUGAAAAGAAAAGAGGAAGAGUCCAGAAGUUAACAGAGGAAAAAAAAAAACACAUUUUAUUCAUGAAAAGAGAUGGCAAUAUAUAGCCUUAUAGAGUACCACGUGAGCAUGAAAGUAGCCAUAUAGUUCUACCCAUUACUUCACCUAAAGAACCGAUACACCCAUGACUCAAUCUUCCAACGUCACUUUCUCAACGUACAACUCCAACAAAUUCAGUCAAACCAAAAUACCUAUUCUACCUAAUAAACUAUUAAUAAAAACAUAACAUAUAAAACUAUAAAUAAAUCUAAACCCAACCAUAUGCAUAAUCACGUGACCUUGGUAAAUAAUCGAUUAAUUCCAACAAGCGGCAAGGGACGUCUCUGCCGGUAGCAACGGUCAACUGGUGACCUUGGAUUGAUCUGAACAGGAAGGAGCGAAGUGGUGGCGGCCGAGAGAUGAAAGAAAGAGAUGGCGGCUGUAAUAUGGGGUGUUAGGUUUAGGGUUUGUGAAGGUGACAUGUUCAUAUACCCGAUCCUUUCAAACUUCAUUCCAUAACAACACCUUUGGUCCCUCCUUGAGUCUUUAAUUUUUGCCAUUUGGUUUUCCAGAGACCAACACCCCACUAAUUACUAUUUAAUUUCUGAGCCGUAAUAAUAUAAAAUAAUAUUAACAAUUACUUUCCGAGGCUCCUAAUUUAUUAUAUAAUUACUCACUUCAAAAUGGGAUGUUACAACUGAGUUGAUGAGAAACGUAAGGAAAAUUAAUCAUUUUGUUUUUUCUUUUCAAAUCCUUCCAAAUCGAAAGGAAAAAUAGGAAGGAACGUGAUCAUUUCAUUUCUCUCCACCCAUUCAUUUUAAGAAACUCGGAAUCACCAAAUUUUUUUACUUUCUUCUCAUUUUCACUAACUUUUUUUUUUCUUUUCUCUCGUUAAGUUGAACUCCAGAAUUGGGUUAAUCUUAUUUAAAAAUAGUUUUUGUAACACUAUAUUUGUAAUGUAUUUGUAAUUCACAUGUAAUUGACAUUUAAUUUAAUACUCUCUCUCUCUCUCUCUCUCUCUCUCUCUCUCUCUAUAUANNNNNNNNNNNNNNNNNNNNNNNNNNNNNNNNNNNNNNNNNNNAGACACACACUUAAUUUUGACAAUGAAGACAUUAUUAUAUGAAAACUGAUUCGUACACAGCAUAUAAAUACAAGACGAGGAGAGGCUUCAUUACAUAAUAAUUAUGAAGCUUUUAUUAACUAUAUAAGUAAUAGGAGUAUUCAAAAACAAUACUCAAGAUCCAUCACGUUCCAUACUGGCUGUCCUAAUUGGGUUAUUUUGCUCGCCCCCAUUAUAAUUGAUUGCUUUAUGGAGAAUGAUUGACGGAGUGGGAUUUGUAGGUGAUUUGAAGUUCAUAUAUCACUAACCAACUUUAUACAUAUCAGUGGCUAAACGAGGGCCCAAAAGAACAUCAAGUGGUGUUUUUUUGACAUUAGUCGCCCCCAUGCUUUCAGUCAUAUCAAUAGGUUCGUUUGUAGGUUUUUUGAGCACAAACUGUUGUAUCAAACGAGCUAGCGUUAAACCCAAAACCUGAAGGGCAAAUAAAACACCAGGGCACAUUCUUCUACCACUACCAAAAGUAAGCAAUUCAUAAUGGUUUCCCUUGACAUCAAUAUCCUUGUGACUGGUCAAGAAUCUCUCAGGCUUGAAUUCGGUGGGAUCUGACCAUAUAUUUGGGUCACGUUGCAACUUCCAAAGAUUUACCACCAGACGAGUUCCUUUUGGAAUGUUGUAGCCACCCACAAUGCAGUCCUCCACUGACUCGUGAGGAACAGAUAGCGGUCCAGCUGGGUAUAAGCGCAAAGUCUCUUUGAUGAUGGCAUUGAGGUAGACUAAGUUCUUCAGGUCUGACUCCUCCACCAGUCUGUCCCUUCCAACAUGCUCAUCAAUUUCCUCUUGGGCAGUUUCUAAUGCUUUUGGGUUGUUGAGCAACAAUGCUAAAGCCCACGUUAAUGUCACAGAUGUCGUCUCAACGCCUGCUGCUAGGACUUGCUGUGAACAGGAAUUUACACCAAUUAAAAACUCGUGGAUUAGGUUAUAUAGUUGAAAGGCUGAAGAAAUAUUUAAUGUAAUAAUGAAACACUGAGAUGAAAAGGUUGAGUUUACUAGACUUGUCGCUUUGAUAAUUGUAUCAUGGUCAAAACCCGGGAAUUCCUCUUUAGAAGCACCUCGAAGAAUGGAAAUUAGCACAUGCAUAAAGUCUUGGUUCGCUUCAUGUUGAUGUAUAUACUUACUCUCCUGUUUGUGCUCCUUUAACCAUCGGUCAAAGAUAUUGUCCAAAUCCUUCCCAAUAUUCUUCAUCAAUUUUUUGUAUCCACCCACAUCCAACCAGUUGAGAUAAGGUAUAAAAUCAGCAACCAAAAAUGCGCCAAAUAACUCAAUGUAUUUCCCUGCCACAGCCUGAAAUCGAACCCCUUCUUCAUCGUUUGGCAAAAACCUCUUUCCUGAAACAAUCCUAACAAUAAUGUUUAAAAGCAAGUUCCCAAACCAUUGACUCAUCUCCACCUUUACCAUCUGUGACUCUGAACUUUCAGUAAGUUUAUUCGUUACCCAGACAUCAUAUAACUCUUUAACGGAUGCUCUAACUUCUGAAGCUCGAAUAUGUCCAAGCAUCUCAACUCUUCGUUGAGAAAGAACCUCCAACACAAGCAUCUUACGCAUUUUUCGCCAAUAGUCCCCAUAUGGAGCACGGCCAAGCACCGCAUAAUUAUAGGCCAUGAUUUUCGAUGCCUCCAUUUUCGGUCGACUUGCAAAAGCCUUGUCAUUGGUAGUAAAGCAUUCCUUAGCAAUCGCUGCAUCACUCACCACCAAAGCUUGAUGAACACCAAGCUUGAUGGCGAAAACAGGGCCAUGUUUGUCUGCCAUGUCACCUAAAACCUUGUGAGGUAGCUCAGGUCCACCUAAAAGGUGUAAGUGUCCGAUUAUCGGCCAUGCCCCUUUUGCUUGUGGUGGCUUCAGGUUCUUCCCUGUGUUUUCCUUAUUUCUGUGGAGGAUAGGGAGUAGUAAACGGUGUACAAGAAUAGAGACAAAGAUUGUUGUAACAAUAGCUGAUACUAAGAGGUAGAACUCCAUGGCCGAGUGAGCAAAUUGAAUGCGUGGUUGUAUUUAUUUGCAAACCUAAAAAGCUAAGAUAUUGUUUUUGUAACCUUGUGGUGGUCCUUUAAAGAUCAAUCAUGGUCAACCUUUAACAAUAAAGUGGAUCCAAUUGAUUUAUAUAUACAUCUACAUCAAUUUGUUGGACAUAUUUACCCUUGAGGAUAAUUAAGUUAUUAAAAGUUAAAACAGAAGACAGAAAAGCUUUAUUCUUUUUAAUCAUUUACCGUUAGGCUCUUUUUAGCUUCAUGUGUGUAGGUUAAGCUCGUACCCAUGUAUAUAAACUCCAUGUUUUUCUAUUUCCAAGUAAUGAAAUGAAUCUCUAAAACAUUUCAUCAUCUAAAAUUCUAAAAGCAAAUAGUAUCAGAGCGUCUUCCGAUUCUCAUACUCUGAUUGUUUCCCCAAUUUCAAUCAUCUAUUCCUUUUUUUUUUGUUCUUUCUAUUCUCGAUUUUAAUCAUAUCGAGUUCAUCUUCCAUUCGGUUGAUCAAAAUUCAUCAAAUGACAUAAAUUAUACAACUUAUACAUAUAUUUUGUUUUUGAAAGAGAAUACAUAUAUUUUGUUAAUUUAUCAUAAAUAUCACUACCACACAAGCCCCUGUUGACAGAAUUUUACAAACAUUCCGUAAGAGACAGAUUGGUUAGAGAGAAGUAUAAAAGUACCGUUGUGAUCCGAUUUUUUUUUUUUUUGCAGGAUUAGCAAUUUUAAAUCUGUACUAGUUUAUGGGUAUAUUUGAUAGUUUUUCUUUUAAAUAAUUUAGACGAUUAUCGACCGAGUAUUAUAGUUCAAAAAAUCCAUUGAUAAUGCGUAAAGUUUGCUUAUUUUCAAACUUUUUUAGAUUUAAUAGAUUAAAUGAAAUUUCCUAUUUUCAUAAUUAUGAAUGUUAAUAAUAAUAUUCAUUAUUAUUUUCUAUCCUAAUAAAUGAGUUCCCAAUUGACAUGUGGCAAUUGUUAAGACCCCUCUCCCAACGAAUUUUCCGGCUCAAAGUUUGUAUGUGAAGUUCCGAAAAUGCCUUUUCUGCCUCUUAAAACCCCAUCCGCCUUCAUUCUCCCUAUGACGUUGGAAACAAUUAAGAAUUUCAAACUUCUAUGCAACAAAUCAGCUCCCAAAAAAUCUCAAGCAUUCAUCCAUUCCUAGAAAUCAAUAAUCACCAAGAUUUUCUGAUCUUGAUUACCAAGAUCGGAACCAAUUUCAUGGAAAUCCAAUAUUUACACCUCCUUAAUCUGUUUGUGCAGGAUUUCUCAUAUUUAAUUAACUUUCAUUGUCCAAGUAUUCCUUCUUUACCUUUUUUUUUUUAUUCUUCUUGGUUAUUGAAAUCGAUUGCUUAAAGUGGGUUUUGUAGGUUCGAAAUUUUUGGAACCAUAAUACCCUAUAUGUUCUCACGUAUGCUUCUUGAGGAUCAAAGAGGUAAAACUAAUCGUAUUUGAAACUGUAAGGUUGAAGCUUCUUGGGUUGCAGCCCAUGGAUAAUGGACCGGGUUUUGGGUCCAGGUAUAAAACCCAAUGUGUCCGGCUGUAAACAUCCUCUGCUCACUAUUCAUUCUUCCAGCUGUAAACUCACCCGAAAACUCUCUCAAUUACUAUUCAUUGAUCCAUCUCAUUUGUGUUUGAAACACGAAAUUGAUUGUUUAAUCUUGUAGGUAUGCGUAUUCCGACUAUCAAAAUGCCAUUUUAAUAGUAAAAUGACCUUGAAUCGAAGGAUUAAUCGAAGAAGUUGAAACUGUCGGCAUUUACGGUUCUUGAGCUGUUUACGGCCAUUGAAGGGCUUACAGUCAUACACCCGUUUACGCUUGUACACCUGUUUACGGCCGUAGACUCCCUAUCUGACCGUAAACUCGAUUUUUCAACAUUAAAUACUGUUUUUAACACUUAAUCUCCAUUAAAGCCUAAUUAAAAUUUUACAUGAGUAAAACCUUCAAUGAUUAAAUAAAUUAUUUUAUCACAUGGCUUGGUCAACUGCAGAUCAAAGUGGAUGGAGUCAAGUUUGCUGAUAGUCACAAUUUGGCGAUCCUUUUGGUUGACCCUCGAAAAGCUCAUGGUGAAUUCAAUUCCAUGAUCCAUGGUUUGAAGAAAUGCUACUUAGCUACUGCUCUACUGCUCUGACUCUAAAUCCAGUGAUCUAGCAAAGCCUAAUUAAAGAGUUUUGGAAGACUGCAGUAGUAAAAAAGCGGAAUGGUGGCUUAAUGUCUGUUGAAGCUACUAUUAAAGGAAGCAAGGUCGUUGCAACAGAGCAGAUAAUCCGGGAGGUUCUGAGAAUUGAAGACCAACCAAGUUUCCUCACCGAUAUUGAAAUGGAUCAAGCUCAAGAACUUCUCAGUAAAAUGGGAUAUGAAGUAGAAUGUCCUCCAACCCUCAAGAAGUUGUUACGGCCAUACUGGAGGUUUCUAGCUUAUGUCUUUGUGAGCUGCAUCUCGGGAAGGAGAUCUGGAGCGGAUGAAAUCUCUCUACUAAACACAGGUGCAAUCAUCGCUUUUGCUGUUGGACUUGAUUUCAAAUUCUCCAAGUUCAUCUUGAACGAACUUAUCAGGAAUAUUAAAGGAAAGAGAAGAGAUAAAUUUCUCAUGUACCCGAGGUUCCUUCAACUGCUCAUCAACAACCAAUUCCCAGAGAUUGAAAAGGAAGGAGAAACUUUAGACAUGAAAUCCCUUGGGUCACACACAAUUAAUUUAAUUAAACAGAACCGUCAUGGUAUAUUUAUGUUCUAAGGAAAAUACCCUUUUGUGAAGUUUGGGGCAUUUGUUGAAUUGAAUGAUGCAUCUGAGUCCAGUGAUUCCUCUGUUCACUUGGAAUCUGAAGACGAUGUUAUUACCAUCUCAGAGCAUGAAGAAGCAAAUGUUCCUCCUGUUGCAAUUGAAGUAGAGGAACAUGACACCAUGAUCAAUGUGGAGGUACAAAGUGACUUCAACAAGAGUCAAGAUACGGGUGGUGAUGGUGAUGAUGAUGGUAAUGAUGAGGGUUUCAGUGAUGAUGACUCAAUUUUUGGUGGUAACCUGGCUAGACAUGAUGAUGUGGAAAUGAAUUUGACUUUGUGGAUGACUAUUUCCCACCAAUGAGGACCUUGACUCCUUCUUUGAUGGUGUCUAUGAAAUUGCUCAACCGUCAACAGAGACACGGGAAGUGGAUAAUGUUCAAGAAGCUACACCUCCUACCAUUGAACAUAUGGCCAGUAUUCCAAUUGAUACGGAUGCAGCAUCAAGGAAUCAUCCCCUUAAUGUUGAUGUUCCAACUUCUAUGCCAUCUGUGAGUGAUCCGCUUGUGACACAUACUUCCCGGCCUCCAUUGAAGAAAAGAAGACAUGAUCCGAGGUCGGGGGUACUAAUUCAGGAACAGACCUCAUCGAUUCAGCCGACAAUCACAGCACAAAACUCUACACCAAUCAUUCAGACUCAAGAAGGACCUAGCAAUGUAUUUGAAACUGGGAGUUCUUCAUCUCCUAGAGGUUCCUUCCUCCCAAGAACUGAUCAUGACAUUGCUUCUAAGAGAUAUGCAUAGUUAUUGGCAGCACAAGAAGCAACAGGCCUUCCUCCUCGCGGAAAAGGCAUAUCAGUUGAGGAACGUAGAUCUGGGGGAGUUGAGCCUUCCAACACAAAGCUCAUGGUUGAGAUUGGUGUAUUGAAACAUACGAUCAUUAAAAAAGAUGUUUUGUUAGGUAAUCUUAACAUUUGUCUUUCAGAUGUUGAAGUUGACAACAGGGCCAAGUCAAAGAAAAUAACUGAUCACCAAACUCACCUUGGAGCUUUGACUGCAUGCUACUAUGAAUUGAAGAAUAAAAUUUAUUAAGAGCUUGGUUAAAAUGCAAGUCAUCUGUCGUUCAACCAGUAGCAACUGAAGGUCCUUCCAGCGUCCCUGUCCAGCCUUCUCAAAAUGACAACCUUGUGGAUCCUCCACCUCCCAGAACCACACGAAUUGUCGAUCGAUUCGAAACUGAACCUCUAAAUGCUAACACUCGAAUUACUAUCAAGCAUGCUAAGAGAAAAGCUACUACUGAUAAGAAACUGAUGGGUUUUAGCCAUAAGAACUUUCCUAUGUGCGCAUGCAAAACCCUAAUGCUUGGAUCUAGGCUUUCUAAUUAAACAUGCUUUGAGUCCAAGACUUCUAAUGACUAUUUAAGAAUAAGAACAAUGUUAAAACAGAUCUAUAAUCAUACCUUUGAAUUCCUUGUUGAUCUUGUUGUCUUGGAGCUUCUAGAGUCACAAUUGUCACUCCUCUAAUGGCUUACAAACACCAAAUAGCAAGGAGGAUGAUUUGGGAGAGAGUAGAGGGGAGGAAAUCGGCCAGGGUUCUCUUACUUUAGAUGAAGUACCGAUUUCCUUAUGCCAUAGGGUCUAUUUAUACUUGUAGACUCCUUAAGGGUUACAACCUAAACCCUAAUUGAAUAAUCUUCUCUUAAGGCGAUCCAAAUCCAUUCCUUAGAUAACCCUUGGACGAUUUGAGCUAUCCUUUAGCUUCUAGAAUCCGUCCAAUCCAUAUCUAUAUGGAUUUACAGUCUAAAGUUUAACUAUCAAACAAUUGACAAUUUAUACCCUUUUAUUUAAUUAAUCUCUUUAAGUCACCAAAUUAAUUCCAAUUAAUUCUAUGACUUAUAUUAAUCAAAUAACAAUAUAUUAUUCUUUAUAUUAUUCUCAUAAUAUACUAAUAAUAAUUACUCUCUCUUAAUAAAUCAUCCUAUCAAGUUGCUAUGGUGAAGGCAACCCAAAAGGACCAUGCACAACCGGGUCAAAUACUUGCCUAAUAUAGUUGCAGCCUUAGACACUAUUCCAACAGUCUCCCACUUGGAUAAGUCUAGUAACUAUAUGCACUAGUACAAUUCAGUUUGCAAUCGUAGCUCUCAAAGACGCUGUCAAACUCUGAUCUAAUCAAUAUUGUCCUUUAGAUAAGGGAUCGUACAGUCCUCUGUUAGAUAUCAUGCUGACAAUCCUAUGGAAUGGUUAGUCAAGCAUUUAGGUUUCUCGAUCUCUGAUUUAUUUGACAUAGAACUUAAUCGAACACAUCAAUUCAGUUCUGACCGGGCCCGACACAUAAGUCAAAUCAAAUCAUCGAGCGGCCGAGAUAUCGCUUUUACCUUCUUAGAUAAAAGUUACAGAUAAACUUCGACUUAUAUGCAUUUACUUAUUCAUUAAUCAACUAUACACAAUAAUGCGUUUUAUAACAUUAAGUUACCAAUGCAUUUUCGCAUUAUCAAUGUACAAUCAAUUAACAAAUAACAAACCAUAUAUCUAGGUUUUAAGACUAUAUGAUAUUAUCGUCUUGCGAUCACCCUUUUAUAUCAUAUUCCAUAAGGUGAUUCCAGCAAGCGCGGGUUUGUUCCAAUGCUCAAAACUAGUUCAUAAGCACUCAUGAACGUUGCAGCAACCCUUUGCUAUGUCUAACACCAUUUAGACAAUCUACACACCAAUUCAUGACAAUCUUCAUUCAUAUCUACUUCCAACAUAUGAACGAUUGUGGACAAUUUGAACAAUUCGAUUAUUCCUAAUAAACUCAAUUAUUCUGGAAGUCAAAACAUGCAAAGUGAAACAAUAGCUAAACAAUUAACAUAAGAUAGUAACAUUACUCAUAAAUAAAACUCCUUUAUUUAAUCAUCAAAUGUUAAUUACAUUUAUCUAUUACACGUUUCUAAUACUAUCUAAUCUAUGCUAAUAUCAUCCUUCAGCCCAAUACUCCUAGCAUGCUGCAAGUGCUUAACCCUACUCAGUCCCUUCGUAAGCGGAUCUGCUGGGUUAUCUUCUGAUGAUAUCCUCUUCACUACGAGUUGUCCUUCUUCUACACGAUGUCUAAUGAAGUGAUAUUUUCUGUCGAUAUGUCUUGAUCUACCAUGAUCCCUCGGUUCCUUGGUCAAGGCAACCGCUCCUUCGUUAUCACAGAAAAUCUCCAUGGGCUCCUUUAUGGCAGGUACAACUCCAAGAUCACCGAUGAAGUUCUUUAGCCAUAUUGCCUCCUUCGACGCUUCGCUCGCUGCAAUGUACUCUGAUUCGCACGUUGAAUCAGCUACGGUUUCCUGCUUGGAACUCUUCCAUGUCACUGCUCCUCCAUUUAGGGUAAAGACCCAGCCCGACUGCGAACGGUAGUUGUCCCUGUCGGUCUGAAAACUGGCGUCACUAUACCCUCGCACCUUCAAGUCAUCACUCCCUCCGAGGACUAAGAACCAUUCCUUCGUCCUCCGAAGGUACUUAAGGAUAUUCUUCACCGCAAUCCAAUGUGCUUUGCCAGGAUUCCCUUGAUAUCUGCUAACCAUGCUCAAAGCGAAGGCUACAUCAGGGCGAGUACAAGUCAUAGCGUACAUGAUUGAGCCAACUGCGGAAGCGUAUGGUACUCGGCUCAUUUCUGCUAUCUCAGCUUCGGUACUCGGACUUUGAGUCUUACUCAAUUUGGCAUUACUUUGUAUCGGUAGUUCUCCCUUCUUUGAGUUUUCCAUACUAAAACGUUUUAGUACCUUCUCUAAGUAAGUAUUCUGACUAAGUCCAAUUAGUCUCUUACUUCUUUCUCUUACUAUCCUUAUUCCCAAAAUGUAAGAAGCCUCUCCGAGGUCCUUCAUAGCGAAGCACUUCCCGAGCCAGGACUUAACCUCCUGCAGAGUCGGGAUGUCGUUUCCUAUGAGUAAUAUGUCAUCGACAUAUAGAACGAGGAAGCUUACUAUACUCCCACUGGCUUUGACAUAUACACAAGAUUCGUCUUCGCUUCGUACAAAUCCAAACUCUUUGACUUUCUCAUCGAAGCAAAGAUUCCAUCUGCGAGACGCUUGCUUAAGUCCAUAAAUGGACUUCUCAAGCUUACACACUCUAUUCGGAUGCUUCGGAUCCACAAACCCCUCUGGCUGAGCCAUGUAAACAUCCUCAGCCAACUUUCCGUUAAGGAAAGCGGUCUUGACAUCCAUUUGCCAAAUCUCAUAAUCAUGAAAUGCGGCAAUAGCUAGCAUCACUCUAAUAGAUUUAAUCUUCGCAACUGGUGAGAAGGUCUCAUCAUAGUCAACUCCGGGAGUUUGAGUAAAGCCCUUCGCAACCAAUCGCGCUUUAUAUGUGUGUACGUUUCCAUCCACGUCGGUCUUCUUCUUGAAGAUCCAUUUGCACCCAACGGUCUUACGUCCGGGCACAUAAUCAACCAAAUUCCAAACUUGGUUAUCAUACAUGGAUUGGAUCUCGCUAUCCAUUGCCUCUUUCCAUUUUGCAGACUCCGGGCCUGCCAUGGCUUCCUUAUAGCUAUUAGGUUCAUCAAGAUUUACUAGUGUACCAUCACUAAUAUACGUGUCCCCUUCGGUAGUAAUAUGAAAGCCAUAAAACUGGGGAUGAACUCUAACUCUAUCGGAACGUCUAAGAGGUAAGGAUUCGUCAAUCGGUUCAACCGGAGUUUCCUCCUCGGGUUGAGUGCCAGCGGUAGAGGUUCCUUCAUCUAUCGACUCUUGAAUCUCUUCAAGUUCGAUUUGCCUCCCACUGUCUCCUUGGCUUAUGAGUUCUCGCUCUCGGAAAACUCCUCUCCUCGCAACGAAGACAACAUUGUCCUUCGGUCUAUAGAAGAGAUAUCCAAAGGAUGUCUGCGGGUAGCCGAUGAAAAUACAUCGCUCACUUCGAGGUUCAAGCUUGUCGUGAGUAUCUCGUCUUACGAAAGCCUCGCAACCCCAAACCUUGAUAUGUGCCAACGAGGGAGCUUUCCCUGUCCACAUCUCGUGAGGUGUUUUGGCAACCUUCUUAGUAGGGACUCGGUUAAGGAUAUGGGCGGCAGUCUCUAAGGCAUACCCCCAAAAAGAGAUUGGUAGUGAAGCACGACUCAUCAUAGAGCGAACCAUAUCCAAUAAGGUUCGAUUACGCCUUUCUGCCACACCAUUCAACUGCGGUGUCCUAGGAGGCGUCAAUUGUGAAACUAUUCCACACUCCUUGAGAUAAUCGUGGAAUUCAAGACUUAGGUACUCUCCUCCUCGAUCGGAUCGAAGCAUCUUGAUUUUCCUGCCCAAUUGAUUCUCCACUUCAUUCUUGAACUCUUUGAACUUUUCAAAGGUGUCUGACUUUUGCUUGAUUAAGUAGAUAUACCCAUAUCUACUAUAGUCAUCGGUAAAAGUCACAUAGAAGCGGUUCCCAUCCUUCGUGGUUGAUCUAAACGGUCCACAUACAUCGGUAUGUAUUAGGUCCAAUAGACCCUCGCCCCUUUCACAUGUACUCGUGAAGGGUGACUUAGUCAUCUUUCCAAGCAAACAAGACUCGCAUGUGUCAUCUUCCCUAAGGUCGAAUGACUCCAACACUCCAUCCUUUUGGAGUUGGGCUAUGCGUUUCUUGUUGACAUGUCCAAGACGACAAUGCCACAAGGAUGCUUUAUCCAUACUAGUGGAAGAAUCAAUAUUCAAAACAUCAUUUCCUAAGUUAUCAACAAUCAUAACGGUUUCAUAUAUUCCAUUACAUGGUAUAGCUUCAAAGUAAAAGACACCAUUUAGAUAAGCCAAAAUAGAACCAUUCUCAUUAUUAAAAGAAAAUCUAAAUCCUUGUCUAUAUAAACCAUGAAAUGAAAUGAUGUUUCUUGCCAUUUCUGGCGAAUAGCAACAAUUGUUCAAAUCUAAAACUAAACUAUUCCUAAGCACUAAGGAAUACACUCCAAUCUUGGUCACAGGCGACGAUCUUCUGUUCCCCAUGAUUAGAUUGAUCCUUCCUUGCUCCACAUCCCUACUUCUUCUUAGUCCCUGCACAUUAGAACAAAUGUGAUAACCACAACCGGUAUCAAGAACCCAAGAAAUAGCAUGAUUAGAAUCGUUAGAUUUGAUUGUAUAUAUACCUGCGAAAGAUGGCUUGAUCUUUCCUUCUUUGAUUGCUUGCAGGUAAUCCGGGCAGCUUCUCUUCCAAUGUCCUAUCUUGUGGCAGUGGUGGCACUCUGCCUCCUUCGGGUUAGAGCAGGGCUUAGCGGGAUCAACUUUGGUCCCACUAGAAGAGGCACCAUCUCGGGCUUUCACCUUGCGAUAGUUCUUCGAUGAAGCUUUCCUCUUCUUUCCCUUCCCUUGUCCAAUAGCCAAGACAGGAGCAGCGGGCGGAUUGGGAGUAGGUGCAACAGACUUGUCUUUGAAGUUGCUCUCAGCAACCCUCAAGAGACCUUGGAGCUUGCUUAGGGUGACCUCUUCUUUGUUCAUGUGGUAGGUCAUCCUAAAUUGGUUGUACAUCGGAGGCAAAGAGUGAAGCACCAUGUCGAUCGCCAAGUCUUCACCGAAGUCAACAUUUAACUUGCGAAGGCGGUCGACAUACCUUUGCAUCUUUUGCAAGUGCACGGUAAGAGAUUCUCCAUGACCCAUCUUCGCGGAAAUCAUGUUAGUGAAAAUCUCGUACCUCUCUUGUCUCGCGUUUUGGUGGUACCUCUCCAAUAAGUCUUGGUGCAUCUCGUACGGGUACAUGUCCUCGUAGGACUUUUGGAAUUCGGAGUUCAUGGUGGCGAUCAUGAUGCAAUGUACCUUCGUUGCAUCUCGCUCAUGAGUUUCAAAGGCGGUGAUUUCGGCGGGAGUAGCAAUUUCGGGGUUGAUUUUCUCGAGCUUCUCAUCGAGGACAUACUCCUUAUCCUCAUAGCGAGCAAUGGUGCGAAUGUAUCUUAUCCAUUCGCUAAAGUUCGUUCCAUCGAAGGUGACCUUUUGGCAAAGGCUCAUCAACGUGAAAGAACUAGCAGCAGCGUUGUUUGCGUUCGACAUCUACAAUUAGAAAAGGACAAAGAUAGAUUAGAAUAAGAAUCCCUAAUUAUCACCCAAUAAGAAAAUUAGGGCUAGGAUCCAACAAUAACAUUUACAUACUAGAAAAGGGAUGCCGUAAUCUAACAUGCAAAUAAAUUGAAGGUAAGUGAAUGACGAUUCACUAAUUCUCCAUCACAAAACUUAAACUAUUAGUCCUAAGUGUUUUUGAGAAUUCCUAGGUUCGGAUGAGAUUCAUUGAAACUAUUCAAUGGCAUGUUUAAAUCUCGAUAUGCCCCUCUUGUUUGUGACUGGGAUACCGAGGAUCACAAAGCGGGUGUGAAUUACCAUGCAAAUUCACAUGGUGCCUUCAUUGUAACGAUCACCUAUUCGAUGUGCCGGUAAACCACACACGCUCCAUCGAACUAUGAUAAACAAUGAAUCACCCUUUGCCACCUUCGCUUAGAACCAAUUAGUGUGCCGGUAAACCACACACGCUCCACUAACAUCUUAGCAAGGUGCAAAGUGUAAUUUCAUGGGAUUGCAUCAAUUCACUUUUCCUAAAGUAACUAGGAUUGGGAAAUUUUAAAAUAUGUGUAGUUACUUUGUAUUUCUUAUUAUACUUUUAAUGAGAGGAUGAGGUUGCCCUAUCCUACCCGUUCGGCUAACGACCCUCCACCAAUCAAGCAAGCGGUGGGUGUGAGUGUACACCCAUUAAGCGCCAUUUUAUAGGCCGCAACCUUAUACCCACCUUAUAGAUCGGCUUCGUGAAUGAGGCCUACUAACGGUAAGACUAGCAUUUAGUUAUACAUAUAUAUAUUAUUCUAGUAAUAUCAUAUUAGUAUAGGGUUGUAUUUUAAAACUUUUAAAAUCUAGGGUUUGAAAUUUAAGUUGUCUAAAUUAAAACUUUUAAUCACAAAAGUAAAUUUCAAAACAUGAGGGUAGGUUUUAAACAUUUAAAACAUGGAGGAUCAAAUAACAAAUAAUUCCAAUUAACAAUUAAUAUCCUAAUUAUCUAUAUUUGAUUUAUUCAAGAUUUCUUUUAAGAUAAUUACCAAAAUAAUUAAAAUAAUUAAUUAAUUAUCAUAUAAGGAAAUUAAAUAUUUAAUUAGUUGAUAAUUACCUUUAACUAGAUCAAGAUAAUAGUUAUAUUUAUCAGAAAAACGAAUUAAUGUUGAUCUAAUUAGUUUAUGGUAAGUUAAGAUAAGAUAAACACAAAGAAAUCCCGAAUCUGGCCAUUCCUGACGCCUGGACUCGCCGAGUGCACAAAUGGACUCGCCGAGUCAGGCCUACUCGCCGAGUCCACUUUGAGACUCGCCGAGUCCAUGACUCAGAAACCAAAAAUUCGAAUUUUGCAGGUUUGUUUCAGUUAAUCAAGCAACAAUUUAAAGAAAACCAAGCUAGGCUCUGAUACCACUGAUGGGUUUUAGCCAUAAGAACUUUCCUAUGUGCGCAUGCAAAACCCUAAUGCUUGGAUCUAGGCUUUCUAAUAAACAUGCUUUGAAUCCAAGACUUCUAAUGACUAAUUAGGUUAAAUAACAACAUUGAAACAGAUCUAGAAUCAUACCUUUGAGUUCCUUGUUGAUCUUGAGGUCUUGGAGCUUCUAGAGUCACAAAUGUCACUCCUCUAAUGGCUUACAAACACCAAAGCAAGGAGGAUGAUUUGGGAGAGAGGAGAGGGGAGGAAUUCGACCAGAGUUCUCUUGCUUUUUCAGAAGUGUCGAAUUCCCUAUGCCAUGGGGUCUAUUUAUACUUGUAGACUCCUUAAGGAUUACAGAUAAGUCCCUAUCAGAUAAUCUUCUCUUAAGGCUAUCCAAAUCCAUUCCUAGAUAACUCUAAUGGACGAUUUUAGCUAUCCUAAUCCUCUUAGAAUUCGUCCAUAGCAUAUCCAAAUGGAUUUACAGUCUAAAGCUUAACUAUCAAACAAUUGACAGUUUAUACCCCUUUAUUUAAUUAAUCUCUUUAAGUCACCAAAUUAAUUCUAAUUAAUUCUAUGACUUAUAUUAAUCAAAUAACAAAUAUAUUAUUCAUUAUAUUAUUCUCAUAAUAUAUUAAUAAUAUUUACUCUCUCUUAAUAAAUCAUCCUAUCAAGUUGCUAUGGUGAAGGCAACCCAAAAGGACCAUGCACAACCGGAUCAAAUACUUGCCUAAUAUAGUUACAGCCUUAGACACUAUUCCAACAGUCUCCCACUUGGAUAAGUCUAGUAACUAUACAAGUACAAUUCGGUUUGCAAUCGUAGCUCUCAAAGACGCUGUCAACUCUGAUCUAAUCAAUCUUGUCCUUUAGAUAAGGGAACGUACAGUCCUCUGUUAGAUAUCAUGCUGACAAUCCUAUGGAAUGGUUAGUCAAGCAUUUAGGUUUCUCGAUCUCUGAUUUAUUUGACAUAGAACUUAAUCGAACACAUCAAUUCAGUUCUGACCGGGCCCGGCACAUAAGUCAAAUCAAAUCAUCGAGCGGCCGAGAUAUCGCUUUUACCUUCUUAGAUAAAAGUUACAGAUAAACUUCGACUUAUAUGCAUUUACUUAUUCAUUAACCAACUAUACACAACAAUACGUUUUAUAACACCAAGUUACUGAUGCGUUUUCGUAUUAUCAAUGUACAAUCAAUUAACAAAUAAUAAACCAUAUAUCUAGGUUUUAAGACUAUAUGAUAUUAUCGUCUUGCGAUCACCUUUUAUAUCGUAUUCCAUAAGGUGAUUCCAGCAAGCGCGGGUUUAUUCCAAUGCUCAAAACUAGUUCAUAAGCACUCAUGAACGUUGCAGCAAUCCUUUGCUAUGUCUAACACCAUUUAGACAUUCUACACACCAAUUCAUGACAAUCUUCAUUCAUAUCUACUCCCAACAUAUGAACGAUUGUGGACCAUUUGAACAAUUCGAUUAUUCCUAAUAAACUCAAUUAUUCUGGAAGUCAAAACAUGCAAAGUGAAACAAUAGCUAAACAAUUAACAUAAGAUAGUAACAUUACUCAUAAAUAAAACUCCUUUAUUUAAUCAUCAAAUGUUAAUUACAUUUAUCUAUUACACGUUUCUAAUACUAUCUAAUCUAUGCUAAUAUCAUCCUUCAGCCCAAUACUCCUAGCAUGCUGCAAGUGCUUAACCCUACUCAGUCCCUUCGUAAGCGGAUCUGCUGGGUUAUCUUCUGAUGAUAUCCUCUUCACUACGAGUUGUCCUUCUUCUACACGAUGUCUAAUGAAGUGAUAUUUUCUGUCGAUAUGUCUUGAUCUACCAUGAUCCCUCGGUUCCUUGGUCAAGGCAACCGCUCCUUCGUUAUCACAGAAAAUCUCCAUGGGCUCCUUUAUGGCAGGUACAACUCCAAGAUCACCGAUGAAGUUCUUUAGCCAUAUUGCCUCCUUCGACGCUUCGCUCGCUGCAAUGUACUCUGAUUCGCACGUUGAAUCAGCUACGGUUUCCUGCUUGGAACUCUUCCAUGUCACUGCUCCUCCAUUUAGGGUAAAGACCCAGCCCGACUGCGAACGGUAGUUGUCCCUGUCGGUCUGAAAACUGGCGUCACUAUACCCUCGCACCUUCAAGUCAUCACUCCCUCCGAGGACUAAGAACCAUUCCUUUGUCCUCCGAAGGUACUUAAGGAUAUUCUUCACCGCAAUCCAAUGUGCUUUGCCAGGAUUCCCUUGAUAUCUGCUAACCAUGCUCAAAGCGAAGGCUACAUCAGGGCGAGUACAAGUCAUAGCGUACAUGAUUGAGCCAACUGCGGAAGCGUAUGGUACUCGGCUCAUUUCUGCUAUCUCAGCUUCGGUACUCGGACUUUGAGUCUUACUCAAUUUGGCAUUACUUUGUAUCGGUAGUUCUCCCUUCUUUGAGUUUUCCAUACUAAAACGUUUUAGUACCUUCUCUAAGUAAGUAUUCUGACUAAGUCCAAUUAGUCUCUUACUUCUUUCUCUUACUAUCCUUAUUCCCAAAAUGUAAGAAGCCUCUCCGAGGUCCUUCAUAGCGAAGCACUUCCCGAGCCAGGACUUAACCUCCUGCAGAGUCGGGAUGUCGUUUCCUAUGAGUAAUAUGUCAUCGACAUAUAGAACGAGGAAGCUUACUAUACUCCCACUGGCUUUGACAUAUACACAAGAUUCGUCUUCGCUUCGUACAAAUCCAAACUCUUUGACUUUCUCAUCGAAGCAAAGAUUCCAUCUGCGAGACGCUUGCUUAAGUCCAUAAAUGGACUUCUCAAGCUUACACACUCUAUCCGGAUGCUUCGGAUCCACAAACCCCUCUGGCUGAGCCAUGUAAACAUCCUCAGCCAACUUUCCGUUAAGGAAAGCGGUCUUGACAUCCAUUUGCCAAAUCUCAUAAUCAUGAAAUGCGGCAAUUGCUAGCAUCACUCUAAUAGAUUUAAUCUUCGCAACUGGUGAGAAGGUCUCAUCAUAGUCAACUCCGGGAGUUUGAGUAAAGCCCUUCGCAACCAAUCGCGCUUUAUAUGUGUGUACGUUUCCAUCCACGUCGGUCUUCUUCUUGAAGAUCCAUUUGCACCCAACGGUCUUACGUCCGGGCACAUAAUCAACCAAAUUCCAAACUUGGUUAUCAUACAUGGAUUGGAUCUCGCUAUCCAUUGCCUCUUUCCAUUUUGCAGACUCCGGGCCUGCCAUGGCUUCCUUAUAGCUAUUAGGUUCAUCAAGAUUUACUAGUGUACCAUCACUAAUAUACGUGUCCCCUUCGGUAGUAAUAUGAAAGCCAUAAAACUGGGGAUGAACUCUAACUCUAUCGGAACGUCUAAGAGGUAAGGAUUCGUCAAUCGGUUCAACCGGAGUUUCCUCCUCGGGUUGAGUGCCAGCGGUAGAGGUUCCUUCAUCUAUCGACUCUUGAAUCUCUUCAAGUUCGAUUUGCCUCCCACUGUCUCCUUGGCUUAUGAGUUCUCGCUCUCGGAAAACUCCUCUCCUCGCAACGAAGACAACAUUGUCCUUCGGUCUAUAGAAGAGAUAUCCAAAGGAUGUCUGCGGGUAGCCGAUGAAAAUACAUCGCUCACUUCGAGGUUCAAGCUUGUCGUGAGUAUCUCGUCUUACGAAAGCCUCGCAACCCCAAACCUUGAUAUGUGCCAACGAGGGAGCUUUCCCUGUCCACAUCUCGUGAGGUGUUUUGGCAACCUUCUUAGUAGGGACUCGGUUAAGGAUAUGGGCGGCAGUCUCUAAGGCAUACCCCCAAAAAGAGAUAGGUAGUGAAGCACGACUCAUCAUAGAGCGAACCAUAUCCAAUAAGGUUCGAUUACGCCUUUCUGCCACACCAUUCAACUGCGGUGUCCUAGGAGGCGUCAAUUGUGAAACUAUUCCACACUCCUUGAGAUAAUCGUGGAAUUCAAGACUUAGGUACUCUCCUCCUCGAUCGGAUCGAAGCAUCUUGAUUUUCCUGCCCAAUUGAUUCUCCACUUCAUUCUUGAACUCUUUGAACUUUUCAAAGGUGUCUGACUUUUGCUUGAUUAAGUAGAUAUACCCAUAUCUACUAUAGUCAUCGGUAAAAGUCACGUAGAAGCGGUUCCCAUCCUUCGUGGUUGAUCUAAACGGUCCACAUACAUCGGUAUGUAUUAGGUCCAAUAGACCCUCACCCCUUUCACAUGUACUCGUGAAGGGUGACUUAGUCAUCUUUCCAAGUAAACAAGACUCGCAUGUGUCAUCUUCCCUAAGGUCGAAUGACUCCAACACUCCAUCCUUUUGGAGUUGGGCUAUGCGUUUCUUGUUGACAUGUCCAAGACGACAAUGCCACAAGGAUGCUUUAUCCAUACUAGUGGAAGAAUCUAUGUUCAAAACAUCAUUUCCUAAGUUAUCAACAAUCAUAACAGUUUCAUAAAUUCCAUUACAUGGUAUAGCUUCAAAGUAAAAGACACCAUUUAGAUAAGCCAAAAUAGAACCAUUCUCAUUAUUAAAAGAAAAUCUAAAACCUUGUCUAAACAAACCAUGAAAUGAAAUGAUGUUUCUAGCCAUUUCUGGCGAAUAGCAACAAUUGUUCAAAUCUAAACAUAAACUAUUCCUAAGCACUAAAGAAUACACUCCAAUCUUGGUCACAGGCGACGAUCUUCUGUUCCCCAUGAUUAGAUUGAUCCUUCCUUGCUCCACAUCCCUACUUCUUCUUAGUCCCUGCACAUUAGAACAAAUGUGGUAACCACAACCGGUAUCAAGAACCCAAGAAAUAGCAUGAUUAGAAUCGUUAGAUUUAAUUGUGUAUAUACCUGCGAAAGAUGGCUUGAUCUUUCCUUCUUUGAUUGCUUGCAGGUACUCUGGGCAGCUUCUCUUCCAAUGUCCUAUCUUGUGGCAGUGGUGGCACUCUGCCUCCUUAGGGUUAGGGCAGGGCUUAGCGGGAUCAACUUUGGUCCCACUAGAAGAGGCACCAUCUCGGGCUUUAACCUUGCGAUAGUUCUUAGACGAAGCCUUCCUCUUCUUUCCCUUUCCUUGACCAAUAGCCAAGACAGGAGCAGCGGGUGGAUUGGGAGUUGGUGCAACAGACUUGUCUUUGAAGUUGCUCUCAGCGACCCUCAAGAGACCUUGGAGUUUGCUUAGGGUGACCUCCUCUUUGUUCAUGUGGUAGGUCAUCCUAAAUUGAUUGUACAUCGGAGGCAAAGAGUGAAGCACCAUGUCGAUCGCCAAGUCUUCCCCAAAGUCAACAUUUAACUUGCGAAGGCGGUCGACAUACCUUUGCAUCUUUUGCAGGUGCACGGUAAGAGACUCUCCAUGACCCAUCUUAGCGGAAAUCAUGUUAGUGAAAAUCUCAUAACGCUCUUGUCUCGCGUUUUGGUGGUAUCUCUCCAAUAAGUCUUGAUGCAUCUCGUACGGGUACAUGUCCUCGUAGGACUUUUGGAAUUCGGAGUUCAUGGUGGCUAUCAUGAUGCAAUGUACCUUCGUUGCAUCGCGCUCAUGAGUUUCAAAAGCGGUCAUUUCAGCCGGAGUAGCGAUUUCAGGGUUGAUUUUCUCGAGCUUCUCAUCGAGGACAUACUCCUUAUCCUCAUAGCGAGCAAUGGUGCGAAUGUAUCUUAUCCAUUCGCUAAAGUUCGUUCCAUCGAAGGUGACCUUUUGGCAAAGGCUCAUCAACGUGAAAGAACUAGCAGCAGCGUUGUUUGCGUUCGACAUCUACAAAUAGAAAGGACAAAGAUAGAUUAGAAUAAGAAUCCCUAAUUAUCACCCAAUAAGAAAAAUUAGGGCUAGGAUCCAACAACAACAUUUACAUACUAGAAAAGGGAUGCCGUAAUCUAACAUGCAAAUAAAUUGAAGGUAAGUGAAUGACGAUUCACUAAUUCUCCAUUUCAAAAACUAAACUAUUAGUCCUAAAUGUAUUGAGAAUUCCUAGGUUCGGAUGAGAUUCAUUGAAACUAUUCAAUGGCAUGUUUAAAUCUCGAUAUGCCCCUCUUGUUUGUGACUGGGAUACCGAGGAUCACAAAGCGGGUGUGAAUUACCAUGCAAAUUCACAUGGUGCCUUCAUUGUAACGAUCACCUAUUCGAUGUGCCGGUAAACCACACACGCUCCAUCGAACUAUGAUAAACAAUGAAUCACCCUUUGCCACCUUUGCUUAGAACCAAUUAGUGUGCCGGUAAACCACACACGCUCCACUAACUUCUUAGCAAGGGUGCAAAGUGUAAUUUCAUGGGAUUGCAUCAAUUCACUUUUCCUAAAGUAACUAAGAUUGGGAAAUUUUAAAAUAUGUGUAGUUACUUUGUAUUACUUAUUAUACUUUUAAUGAGAGGAUGAGGUUGCCCUAUCCUACCCGUUCGGCUAACGACCCUCCACCAAUCAAGCAAGCGGUGGGUGUGAGUGUACACCCAUUCAGCGCCAUUUUAUAGGCCGCAACCUUAUACCUACCUUAUACAUCGGCUUCGUGAAUGAGGCCUCCUAACGGUAAGACUAGCAUUUUAGAUAUAUAUAUAUAUAUAUUAUUCUUGUAAUAUUAUAUUAGUAUAGGGUUGUAUUUUAAACCUUUUAAAAUCUAGGGUUUGAAAUUUAAAUUGUCUAAAUUAAAACUUUUAAUCACAAAAUAUAAAUUUCAAAACUUGAGGACAAGUUUUAAACAUUUAAAACAUGGAGGAUCAAAUAACAAAUAAUUUCAAUUAACAAUUAAUUUCCUAAUUAUCUAUAUUUGAUUUAUUCAAGAUUUCUUUCAAGAUAAUUACCAAAAUAAUCAAAAUAAUUAAUUAAUUAUCAUAUAAGGAAAUUAAAUAUUUUAUUAGUUGAUAAAUAUCUUUAAUUAGAUCAAGAUAAUAGUCAUAUAUAUCAAAAAAUCGGAUUAGGGUUGAUCUAAUAUGAUUAAGGUAAGUUUCCAUAAGAUAAUCAUGAAGAAAUCCCGAAUCUGGCCAUUCCUGACGCUUGGACUCGCCGAGUGCACCAAGGGACUCGCCGAGUCAGGCCAACUCGCCGAGUCCACUAUGGAACUCGCCGAGUCCAUGACUCAGAAACACAAAAAUCGAAUUUUGCAGUUUAGUUUCAGACAAUUAAGCAACAAUUUAAUGAAAACCAAGCUAGGCUCUGAUACCACUGAUGGGUUUUAGCCAUAAGAACUUUCCUAUGUGCGCAUGCAAAACCCUAAUGCUUGGAUCUAGGCUUUCUAAUUAAACAUGCUUUGAAUCCAAGACUUCUAAUGACUAUUUAGGAAUAAUAACAAUGUUAAAACAGAUCUAGAAUCAUACCUUUGAAUUCCUUGUUGAUCUUGUUGUCUUGGAGCUUCUAGAGUCACAAUUGUCACUCCUCUAAUGGCUUACAAACACCAAAUAGCAAGGAGGAUGAUUUGGGAGAGAGGAGAGGGGAGGAAAUCGGCCAGGGUUCUUUUACUUUAGAUGAAGUACCGAUUUCCUUAUGCCAUAGGGUCUAUUUAUACUUGUAGACUCCUUAAGGGUUACAACCUAAACCCUAAUUGGAUAAUCUUCUCUUAAGGCUAUCCAAAUCCAUUCCUUAGAUAACUCUUGGACGAUUUGAGCUAUCCUUUAGCUUCUAGAAUCCGUCCAAUCCAUAUCUAUAUGGAUUUACAGUCUAAAGUUUAACUAUCAAACAAUUGACAGUUUAUACCCUCUUAUUUAAUUAAUCUCUUUAAGUCACCAAAUUAAUUCCAAUUAAUUCUAUGACUUAUAUUAAUCAAAUAACAAUAUAUUAUUCUGAUAAUAUACUAAUAAUAAUUACUCUCUCUUAAUAAAUCAUCCUAUCAAGUUGCUAUGGUGAAGGCAACCCAAAAGGACCAUGCACAACCGGGUCAAAUACUUGCCUAAUAUAGUUGCAGCCUUAGACACUAAUCCAACAGAAAAAAGGAUGGCUGUUUAUGAAGAACUCUGAUGAGAAUCGAAGUGGAGGCCAGCAUUAACUCUUGGAAAUCGUUCGGGAAUUAAGAUGUGGGGAUAUCAUGUUGCAUUAAAACUGUGGUUGGUGAAGAGGAACUUUGGCGCUCCUUGAUACUACAAGAGUACACACGACUUUUGUUCUUCGAAAAAAGUUGAUCUUAUAGAACCCUCAAAUGCUCCAUUCUACAAUCCCUCCAAGGACCCUCAGGCUUUCAAUUUCAAAUUCUUUUUGGAGCAACAGGUAAAAGAAAAUUUUCAAAUUCGUUUGACCCCCAAACAAACGAGCCAAUGAAGAUAGUGUUGUGGCCUUCUACUAAACAGCUGAAAAAAAUUCCAAUUCCUCAACACUCUCAAGAUGGAUAUCUGGAUCGGAUGGAAUUCUAGGCUUUGAUGAGGUCUCGACCACUGCAACAAUCAAGUUUUUAGACAGUGACAUUGUCCUUCGACUUGUUGAACCUAAGUAUCUUAUGAGGUUCAUGGAGAGAGAUAUUCACACCUUAGCAAAUCAUCAAAUAAUUUGUAAAUCAGACAUCUUGGAGGCAGAUGCUAAAGAGUACACAGGAAUGGUUGCAAAGAUCAUUACAAAUAGGCUUUGGAUGGGGGCUAUUGAAAGAUCGGAGAUGAGGCUGCUAGAGAAACCAUGAUAAAAAAUGAUCGAGCUUAUGUUAUCCACAAACCAAGGGGGAGAUUAAUAGGUCAUAGAUUUGUGGUUUGGGCUAGGUAAUCAUCUAUAUAAGUCGUAUAGGGUCUUGAUCUUGUAAUAUGUGUGUUUGUGUCUAUUUAUGGUUGAGUUGGUGUUCACGGCCGUGAACUAGUUUACGGCCUUAAACUUGUUUACGGCCAUUCAAUUCCUAUAAAUUGUAUGUGUCAGAGUCUAUAAGAAGUGACAUAUCCAUAGAGUUUACGGUCAGUGUGUGUGUUCUUCAAGGUGUACCAGACGUUUUGUGAAUGAACAUGUGCAUUGCUUGAUUAUCUUCUUCUUCUACUCAUUCUCGUUAUUGGUUGUUUUGAUCACUAGUUUGAUUCUCUCAAUCAGGACCAUACAAUUGGUAUCAGAGCAAAUAUGGUGUUGAAACAAACUUUAGUGAUGUUUACGGUUAAAGGAUCUUCAAUUUCAUCAUCGUUUAAGGCUUGGUUCUACAUCAAAUCGUGCUUUCACAGCUAAGGGAAUCAAAAUCUGCUUGAAAAACAUUGUUGUUUUCAUCAUUUCUAGGAGUUUACGGUUAGAGGUAUUGAAGGGAGUACGACCGUAAACUCCAUACACAGCCAUAAUCACUUGAUCUUCAAUAGCCGUAAACAGCUAAUCUUCAAAAGCCGUAAAUAGUUAAUCUUCAAUGAUCGGAAACGAUUAAUUGAUUGUAAACCACUUAACUGUAAUCCAGUUUACAACUGCAAAAUCUUCUAUUGCCUUAAUCUUUAAUUUUCUUUUACAUUUCCAUUAAUCAAGAAAAUUAAAAAAUAAACAAAAAACAAAAAAAUGGAUUCACAAAACUCAACAAUUCUUCAUGAACUGGAUUCCAUAAUGGGAACAACCACACGUAUUCCUCGUAUGCUAUCUGGCGAAGGUUUCCCAGAAUGGAAGUAUCGGAUGGAAAAAAUAUAUCAAGAUGAAAGAUUUCAAAAUUUGGAGAUGCAUCUUAAAAGGGCCUGACAGAAUUACAACAACACUUGAGAAUGGAACAAUUGUUGACAAGAACGUUGAAGAGUAUACUAAUGAAGAAUUUGAUAAAGUCGAUCUACAAGAGAAGGCACUUGCUACACUUACUAUGGCUCUUUCUCCAGAAAUUGCUCAGGGUUUCGGGAAUACACAUCAGCAAAAGCUCUGUAGGAAGCUUUGAUUGAAGUGUAUGAAGUAAAUAAGGAUAUGAAACAAAGCCAUCAAGACAUGCUGUGACAAAAAUUUAAUAUGUUUAAUCACAUUCUUAGAGAAACUUUGGAAGCUAAACUACAACUUUGUAUCACACUCGCCACUGAGAUGAGUUCAGCUGGUAUCUCAGUGCGAAGAUCAGAAAUCAACCAGAAGUUGCUUAACUCUCUUCCAAAGGCAUGGGAUAUGAAUGUUGCUAUCAUCAAGAAAACAAAAUAUUUUAACUGACUUAGUUUGGCCGAAACCAUGGCCAUCAUUAAGGCUUGUGAUCUGGAUGAUAAGAAAAGGGAGAUCAAUCACCUUAACACAUACCCCACUGCUAAUCUCGGAAUUCAAUCCAAUAAUGCUUUCUCAUCCUUCACCAAUCCUCAAGUUCAACCAUUUGUUGCUCCUUUACCAUCAUCAUAUGUCAUUCGAUCCAUGCAAAGUGUUCUAUCUCCAGUAUCCUAUUUACAAGUUGCUUCUUCUUAAAGGCACCAGCUCUAGUUCUUGCUUGAACUCUCGCUCCCAAAGAAAAUGACGAAAAUUUGGCUCUUGCAACCGGUCUUGUCAAAUGUUAUAAUGAUUUUGUGGCUAGUGAGCUACCUCCUCAACUGUCAUUUGCUGAUUUGGAUCAAAUUCAUCCCGAAGAUGUUGAAGAGAUGGACAUUACGUGGAAAAUUGCAAAUGUGCCUUGUGGCUCCAGUACCAAUCCACCAAUCCACACAAUUGCUAACCAUGUUGUUUUGAAUCACACCAACAAACUGAUUUGGUGAUUCAACCAUGUUGGUUUGACUAGAAUUUCCUCCACCAGAAUUACCAUAUUGUUUCCAUUGUUCCCUCAAAUGUUUCUUCCAUUAUUUCCUCCAUUGUUUCCUCCUUGACCCCUCCUGAAUCUGCAAUCUUUGGCCUUGUGUCCAAUUUUUCCACAAACAUAGGAUGGACCAGAAUUCUUCUUGUAACAUCCAGAAAAUUCAGAAGUAUUGUUCACGGGCUAAAGUGUAAAUUAAGGAGGGGAGUCGACGAGUAGGUAUUCCGACUCACCGAGUCGGAGCGGGAUUUGGUUGUGGGAUAAGUGACCAACUCUCCGAGUCAGUAGCUCGGACUCGACGAGUUGAUACUAAAAGGAGAAAACCCUAAUCUCGGGGGUUGUGCCCUAUAUAAAGAACAUAUCAUCCCUUCUUCAGCCUCCGUACCACCCUUGAGAGCCUGAAAACACUAGAAAUCGAGUGGAACUCCAUUGAUAGUGAAAUUGGAGCUUUGGGAAAAGGAAAUCUUGAAAAGGGAACUUGAAGAUUAUGGGAUUACAGCAAGUGAGUGGUAUAGAUUCGAGGUCUACUUCAGUGGGAGCUUGCAUUGGAGGUAAUAAAUUUGUUCUUGAGCUUUUGUGCACAUAGAUCUAUCAAUUGUGGGGGUUUUUUGGGCAUAAAUGAGGUCCAUCUCGAGUUUGGUGUAAAAUCUGAGGUUGCUACCUCAGAUCUAGGCUUGUUAUGACCCAAGGAGCCAUAAAGUCUCUGUUUAAGAGAUGUAGGUGAAGUUCUUUUGUCCCAAACGUUAGCCCAAGAGUGUAUUAUGCUUAGAUCUCUUUGGAUUCACGUAAAGUUGGCCACUUUACGUGAUGGAUGGGUUGUAGGGGAGUGGAUCUAUGGUUUGGAGCCUCUGCAUGGCUUGGAAAGCCACUGUAUGGAUUAAGAACUAGAGGUACUCGGUGAGUCACAUGGGUGAACUUGGCGAUUUGGAUGAAGAUAGAUAGGAACUCGACGAGUUGGAAGAACAACUCAGCGAGUAUGUUGAAUGUUGCCUUGGACUCGGCGAGUCUGUUCUUGGACACGGCGAGUCUGGUCGUGGAGUCCUAACCUUUUUGGUUGAGCUGUGAAUCGGUGAGUCGAUGGAUGACUCAGUGAGUUAAGCGAGAAAGGACUCAGAGUUUGUUGGACUCGGCGAGUCUUGGGGCGACUCAGUGAGUUGAUUCGUGGACUGGGAGUUCUGAGUAUAGGGACUCGAUGAGUCAGUGGGUUGACUCGGCAAGUAGAGUCAGUCUGGAAGGUUGAAUUUGACCAAGAGUUGACCAGUUGACCUCCGGGGGUAUUUUGCUAAAUAUUGGUACUUAUUGAGCUCAGUCUUUUGGUAUUAAUCAGUGGUGGAGUUCGUGUCGGAGGUUGGAGCAGCAUGAUCUUAUAUUUUUAGUCAUCCGUGACGUGGUGAGUUAUCCUCACUAUAUCAACAGGGUCUACGGCACCAAGGCCAACCCUUUAUCGGAUUGUAAUUCGGGUAUCGUUGUUAUGUUAUUGCUUUGCUAUGUUUAUAUCAUGGUGGUUAGGAUGGUAUACGUUAGAGACCUGGUUAAGGUCGGUAUCCUGGUAUAUAGGAUGAUGUUAUGCUAGUGACCGGUUAGGUCAGUAUCCUAGUUAGGAUGAUGUUAUGUUUGUGAUUUGCCAAAUCGGUUUGAUUGGAUGUUAAUGUUUAUACGAUUGUAUGUUUAUGUGCACAUGGUUGUUGGACUGGGGUUGGGUUGAGGGGGGUCCUUAUUUGUGUUGUAGGCCAACAUACCCAGGGCGGACCGGUUAUCCCGAAGGCCCAGCGAGCGGUCCGGAUAGGCUGUAGGCCCCAAGAGGGCGGACCAGAUGUGCCGAGGCUCGGGGAAUAGACCAGGACGACUGAAGGCCCGGUGCAGGCGGACCAGUCAUACUAUAGACUCAGAGAGUGGACCAGGUGGAUUGAAGGCCCGGUACGGGUAGACCAAUCACACUGUAGACUCGAUGUAUAUGAAUGGAUUCGGAGGGUGGACCAGGUGGACUAAAGGCCCGGUACGGCGGAACAGUCACACAGUAGACCCGAAGUGCAUGGCUGUUAUGUGUUCUGUUAUGAUAUGGCAUGUUAUGUGUAUGUGUAUGUGGUUGGUAUUUUGGGGGCAUCUCACUAAGCUUUCGGGCUUACAGUUGUGGUUGAAAUGUUUCAGGUACUUCAGGAGACUGUGGCAAGGCAAAGGCGUGAUCGUACCGCUCCUCAUGUUUAUGUCUUAUGAUAUGGUUAUGGGAAGACUCUAAUAAUAAUUGUAUUGAAUACCUUUUUGUAAUAACUUAACGAAAUUGGGUUGUUUUGAAAAGUUUAAAUUGGUUGGAAUUUUUUAGAGCGUUACACUUCUUGAAAUUCUUCUUGUUAGGGGCAUGAUUUUUGUCAUCUUUGGAAGAGUUUUUGGAGCCUUGCUUCCCUUUCUUAUUGUGCUUUGCCCUUGAAGUACUUGCUUCUCCAACAAAGUUUGUACUUGGUUCCAAGCAGUUUGCAUCUGCCUUCUCAUUCAAUCUGUUAUCUUCUUCCACACAAAUUCUCAACACAAGUUGCUCAAAACUCAUGUCAUCAAUUAAGUACUUAAGAUAUAGUUUGAAAUUCUUCCAAGAAGGAGGAAGUUUUUCAAUGAUUGAACCAACAAGGAAGUUAGAGUUUAUAUCCAUACCUUCAACUUCAAGAUCAUGUGCGAUUAAUUGAAUUUCCUCCACUUGUUUGAGGACAGAUUUGGUAUCCACCAUCUUGAAAUUCAUGAACUUUCCAAUCACGAAUUUCUUGGAACAUGCCACUUCUGUUUUGUAUUUCUUUUCCAGUGAUUCCCAUAUCUCUCUUGCAGUAGGAAUGAUAGAGUAGAUAUCAUAAAGGGAAUCAUCCAAGGUAUUCAGAAUAUAAAUUCUACAAUUAUAUUCAUUUGUGCUCCAAGUUUCCAUAGCCCUUUGGUGUUCUUCCAAUUGGGUUGCAGUAUGUGGUGUUACUCCUUCUGCAGUGGUUACACCAGUGGGAUGAGAGGGAGAAUCAUCAGUGAGAACAUUGGAAACAUGAAGAGUUGUCAAAUAAAACAACAUCUUCUAUUGCUAUCUCCGAAAAUCUGAGUCUUUGAAUUUCUCAGGCUUUUCCACAUGUGUUUUGAUGAUGGAUUGUUGAUCCAUUCUUCCACUCUGUGAUUUCUGUCUGAGAAUGUUAUGACAGAAGUAUACAAUCAACAAAACCAUUAGAAAUAAAACAAAGGAAAUUCAAAUAUAUGUAAUAUACAAGAAUUAGAUUACAGAAAACAUACUUGAAUGUUGACUACAUAGAAAAUAAAAUCACGAAAUUAUACAGAUUGAGGCCUACUUUUGCAGUGUCCUAAGACAGAAAUUUCCCUAGAAUGGGUCUGUCUUGAGGAUACAACAACCAAUUCAAGAACAGAUCUUUGAGAAAGUGCAUGUGGUUCAUUAGCCUUCAAAUUCUGUCUGAAUUUCUCCAUUUACAGGCUUGCAAAAGUGGUUGUAAACCACCAACCAAAAAUAACUGCUAAAAACUGACUACAAUUAACCCUUUAUUUAACAUAAUUUGUUUUGUAAUAAAUAAAUAAUUAAUGACUAAUUAAUUUCGGAUUAUAUAUAAAAAAUAUUAAUUAGUCAAGAACAACCCAAGAGACCGAAGGCCAAAGGCCCUAUCUUUGACCAUUAAUAUUUAAUAAUCCAAGCCUACUACUAGCCCAAUUUGACUAGUACAACACCACAACACAAACCCAAUUUUCUUAACCCAUUACUUGGUCCAUUUAAAUAAAUGAGUGGGACAAUUCUUAUAAGAUGGGAAAAAGUUUUCUCUUCCACUAAUGUGGGAUAAGUCCCACAUUGUAAUUUUAUAGAGCAAAGUUCCAACAAUACCCCACAUUUUCUAUUCAAACUCUAAGAAUGCCCCACAUUUAAAUAUAAAAUAAGUGAACUUUGAUAUUCAAAUAAGGGAAGUAAGAUAUGACAUGCAUCUGAAUAGGUGUUGGAAAACUUGAACCUUUCCUAGUGAGUACUACUUGGAUCCACUUUGUAGGUAGUGAGCUAGAGUCUUGAACUAACCACUGUUUAUAGUAGAAUAAAAAACAAGAAGUAUCACACAUAUCAUAUCUAAGCAUGGUUCAUUUCUUACCAUUGUGUUUUUUUCGGUCGUGAACAAUCCUUUCUUCAUGAGACUUUUAGAGAGCUUAGCCGUAUCAGCUCCCAAAGAUGCGACCUCACAUCCAUCUUACAUAGGUAAUGCUAAUCUGGAAUAAUCCGUACUAUUCCACUAUAAAAGCUAUCAACAUUAUUAAGAAGAAAUAUUCAUCCGUAUAUCAUCAACGGAAAAUCCCAAAAUAAUUAUCAUAAGAGCGAGCAUACCUUUGUGUUAGUGCUUCUGUCACACCCCUAAACCAGAACGGCAGAAUCGUUCGAGGGCGGAUGACUUCAUGUCGUAUAAUAACAGUUGAAUAGAUAGUAAAGAAAGCAAACACAACCAUCAUAAAUAUAGUUUAAAAAGUUACAUUGUUGAUUGUAUUACAUAUUUCAAAAGAAAUUACAUUAUAAUGAUAUAAUAAGUUUGAAAUUGACGCCCUCGUGUCCCUUCCCAAAAGCAGUUGUUACCUGUAUUACUAAAUCCAUGAGAAAUAUAAGUAGUUUUGAAAAAGUGUCAACAAUUAAGUUGGUGAGUUCAUAAGCAUUUUUGUAUAAUAAUUGUAUGCCUUUUUGUAUAAAGCGACUGUUUUGUAUCUAGAAAAUCCAAUAUUUUCCAUAAAUUAAUAGUAAUUUUUAAAUGAUUUGAAAACGAAAUGCAUAAGUAUUUUCCAUACCUAANUUCAUGCGAGUUUUAUAACCAUACUAUUGACCAGACUGCCUGUUGGAAUGAUAUAACAUUUGUCACCCCAGACCUGUCGGUCUAACUGUAGCUAACAGUUUAGGUGCAGGAUUGUCAAUCACGUAUAGAUCUAUACACAACUAUCACGUUCUCCCUACAAGAUACUAUGGUAUAUAAUAUAGAACUUGAAAUGCGUACGUGGAAGUAUGUGAAGUAAAAUGUCUCAAAAGUUUGUAUCAAAUAGAGUUACGUAUGAAAAGUCCAUUGUUCUUGUAUAUGUAAAUAUUUUCUUUCUAUAGUGUUUAUAGAGUGUAAAAUAUCAUGAAUAUCUCAUAAACUAUACCUAUUAUAGUUUCCAAAAAUGUAUUUCAUUUGCAUGGUAAACCUUAAUAUGUGAUUAACUUUGUUUGUAAAGUAUAACAUUUGUAAAAAAAAUGUUACUCUAUGUAUUCGACAUUUAUACACCAAAUGUAGAUAAAGUAUUUGAAACUAUAUGUAACCAUUUGCAUUUUAACAUAAUAUUUUCUUGCGUUUCACUUGUAUUUCUCCCCCUAAAAUAUAGUAAAAGCGUGAGAAUAUGGGGGUAUGAACUCACUUGGAAAUAUUGAUGAUUUAAAGAAAACGGGAUUUCUCGCAGGCAACACUUCGACCGGAAGCAAGUGAGUUUCUUGGGUAAUUCGAAGCUUCGGACCUUCGACGGGACUUGGAUACGUAACCGCGGCGUCGGGGUAGUCUUGAGGGGCUCGGAAGUGGAAAAGUGGGAGAUAAAGGAGGUUAAUUAGCAAAAAUGGCCGGCACCCUCGUAUUCUUUUUAUAGGGGUGUGAGAGGCUUCGUACGCUGGGUGUACUAUGGAGUUACGCGGGGCGUAACGCCUCCGCAGCCCUUACGUUGGGUGUACCCUCGUACGCGAGGCAUACGUCAUGCAUGACGCCUUCCUCGUCUGCCGGACUUCGGAUGGGACGGGGGUAAAGGGACGUAAGGGAGACAUGGCUGAUCUGAGGCCUCGUAUGGCUAAGUUGGGUGUACUACGAAGUUACACUGGGCUUAACCCUCCUAGGUUUGUGUGCCUCAAAGUUCAAAAAUGCGUAAUUUUCGCAUACGAGCUCCAUUUUUGACGUUUUUUUAUAUCCACACGUAGGUGAAAAUAUACUCUACAACUCUCGUUUAGACUUCGUCGGCAAAUUUUGAUUUUAUUUUUAAUUAUAUAUUUUUAAUAGGCCAGGACACGAAAAGUCCGUUAAAAAAUCCUCAACUUCUUCAUCUGAUGUCUGUUUUCGUCAGACUUUUUAUCGCUGUUCUACAAUUGACGAGAUCUUCGAUUCUCGUUUAGGUUUCGUCGGCUAACUAUCGCUCGAUCUCAAUUUCGAGUUUUUAGAUGUCUACCGGUACUCUGAAACUUAGAAAAAUCCUAACUUCCUUAUACGAAGUCAGAUUUGGACGUUCGUUUUAUGUAUGUUCACGGUUUAAAGAUAUAUCUACGACAUUAUUUAGGUACUUAAGGCUAAAAAGUAUUUUAUUGAAAUUUUACGUUUUACGCUUUAAUAGUGUAUUACCGGUUUUGUUGCGGAUUUUCGAUUGGUCAUAACUUCUUCAUUAAAACUCGGAUUUUUGUGUUCUUUAUAUUUAUGAAAACCUAGUUACAAGAUCUAUUACUUUAUGUAUCCCAAUUGAGACUUUUGAAAAUUUCAUUUCUGAUGCUACUUUUAUUUAUUUACUAAUUGAAAAUAGAUUACAAUACUUUGCUUAUGUCAUUACAUUGACUUGAAAUAUCGGGUUGUCACAUCAUCCCCCAAUUAGGGAGAAUUUCGUCCUGAAAUUUAUUCUAAGACAAGUAUUUUUGGACUUGGGAAAAUAUAUGGGUAUUUUUGUUUCAUCUGUUCUUCUCGCUCCCAGGUAUAUUCAGGUCCUCGCUUUGCAUUCCAGCGAACCUUCACAAUGGGUAUGCAACUUUGUUUUGUUCUUUUAAUUUCCCUAUCCAUGAUUUCUACUGGUUCUUCUACAAACUGGAGACUCUCAUUGAUUUCGAUUUCGUCCAGAGGGACGACGAGGGUCUCAUUUGUGAAAACCCGAAGUUCGUUGCGUCAUCGUAACCCGGUUCUGUUAAUAAAGCCGUUACGUUCCAAAAUUUUCCGUUAACUUUGUUUUAAUUUAAUUUAUUUGCGACUUCUAUUUAAAUUUCAUAAGUGUCAGAAUACAUUUUAAUUCAUUAAAAUAUUUUCUAUUUUCAUUUAGAAAAUAUUUAGUUUCAUCUAAGUCAUAAUUACGGUAACUUAAUCAGGUGUGACCAAAAGUCUCGUCUAAUGUCAGUAUCGGGUAGAAUUCCACCAUGACCCAAACUUUGAGCAUAUAUAAAGUGGAGAGAGCCUCAUUUGAAGCCUUUUCCACUCUCUCUCUCUACUUUCUCUCUCUGAAACUCGAAAUCAAGCCAAAAUCAUCCAAAUCAAGCUCCAAACCAUCAAGGUAACUACCCUAGCUCCUAGUAUAACACCUUUGGCCUUCAAAUUCAUGAAAUACAUGAGGAAUAGGACCAUAAACAUGUGUUUACGGUCCUAGAACCUCCUUAGGCCGUGAAAACAUGUAAUAAGGGGUUUUGAGCCUUAAAACCCUUCCAAACCUCAUUUGGAGCAUAGAUAUGACUAAGGGACUUAUUUGUAUGGACUUAGAAUACCUUUAACUCAUCAUUUGGGGCAUAAGCAUGAUUUUACGGUCCAAGCACAUGCUUGGACCGUAAACACCUAUUCUUGGGGAGUAAACUCAAUUUAAGGUGUUAGUUUGCCCCUAAACACCUCCAACAAGCUUCCAUGAGAGUAUAUAACCUUAUAAUCCUUCAAGAAAUGCACCAAAACUUACAAAAAUGGGAAAAACUUGAGUUUACGGUUCAAGAACAUUCUUAGACCAUAAACUCAUCUCCUUAGACCUUAAACUCAUCCAAUGGGUGUUAAUGUGCCCUUAACACCUUGUAUGGUUUAGAAAUGGGUCUAGAACUUAGUAUGCUUGACUUUCAACCACCAAAACCCAUGAAUCUUGGAAAAACAUGAGUUUACGGUUGUAAACUCAUGUGUUUAAGGUAGUAAACUCCCAAGAACAUCUUCAUAGACCGUAAACUACUUUUCCAAGUUCAAUUCAAGUUCCAAACACUUCCUAAGCCAUGGAAUCAAUCCUAGAACCUUCCUAUGUGCAUUGUAAUGACCUAGGACCACCAAAACAUCAAGGGAUUGAGUGUGGGGGAGUUUACAGACGUAAACUCCUAGUUUACUGCCGUAAACUCCAUUAAAUGGUCCAUAUGUGAGUUUAAUCCAUUCCUAUGCCCUAGAUUUGUUCCUAGCCAAUUUUCCCAAGUGAUAUAAGGCCAUUUAGCAUCAUAGAACACCCCACCAUGAGUUUACGGCCGUAAACUCAUGGGGAGAGGGUCAUUAGGGCCGUAAACCCUCUUAUGAGUUUACUCUUGAGGAGUAAGCUCGAUAUCCAAGCCUUAUACAUCCUUUGAUGUCACCCGGGUCACUCCAAAGACUUAUUUUGAAGUGUUUUCGCGUCUUGGAGUGUAUAAUCUUAUCUAAUUAAUGAUUAAAAGUCUAAUUAGAUACAAUUGUGUAUCAUUUCAUAUUACAUAAGAACCUUACGCGUUAUCAAGCCCCGAUCUGACACUUAGCAUCCUAGACGACACGUUCUUCGACUGGUGAGUUCAUACCCCUACGCCUUUUUCCGUGUUUUUCAAUGUUUUCAGGGGGGAAUACAAGCAAAUUAUAAAUGUUUUCAAAACCUAAAACUGAUGUAAUUCUAUAAUUAUCUGGCUAACUUUUAGAUAUCUUUACCCCUUAUGUAUUAUGCUGAGCAUAAGGGAUGUUUUAUCGAUUAUAACUACAUGGAUUUCAGUAAAGGAAACAAUCAAAUCAAUCAAAUUAUUAUGGGAAUAAUUUGGGAUCUUUAGUUCUUACUUAACAAGCACAGAUUUAUGUAAAGCUUUUAGAUAAACUAUGUCUGAUUCAGUUUAUCUCUGUUUAAUUUAAUUUAGAGUAUUUUGUCAGAUAAUUCCAUUGUAUUUAACUGUUUUCACUGUAUUAUGUUUCAAAACGAUUAGUAUGUUUGAUAACGUCUGAAAACAACGUGAGUAAUUUAAUACUAGCUUGUGAGAUUCGUCAUUACCCAUUGGGUUAUCAGUAAAUCCUCCCCGGAAGUGUAACCAAAGUCUCCAAGAGGGAGAGCAUGGAAUUUGUGAAUAGAUAUAUUCGGGACUGACAAUCCCACACCUAAACUGCUAGCUACAGUUACGCGGGCACGCCUGGGGUGACAAAUUUUGGAUAUUGUCCGACGUCUGACGAACGUCAAGGAGGUCUCGGUGUCGCAUCAGCAUGGUUACCCGACUCACAAUACGUAUUAACAUAAGUUUAUUGACGGAUUUGAUUUUAUAUCUAUCUUCAAUCUAUAAUAUCUAUAUCUAGUACGGGAUGUAAAUCCCAUGGUUUUUGAAUCUAUAUCUAGUACGGGAUGUAAAUCCCAUGGUUUUUGAAUCUAUAUCUAGUACGGGAUGGUAAUACCAUGGUUUUGAAUCUAUAUCUAGUACGGGAUGUUAAUCCCAUGGUUUUGAAUCUAUAUCUAGUACGGGAUGUUAAUCCCAUGGUUUUGAAUCUAUAUCUAGUACGGGAUGGUAAUCCCAUGGUUUUGAAUCUAUAUCUAUAUCUAGUACGGGAUGGUAUUCCCUUGGCUUUUAAAUCUAUAGUUUUGGUAUUAAAAACUAUUUUAUAUCUAGUACGGGAUGGUAUUCUCAUGGCUUUCAAUCUAUAGUCUUAUGUAAUAAAAACUAUUUUAUAUCUAGUACGGGUUAAUAUUCCCAUGGUUCUCAAUCAAUAUUUUUAUGUAUUAAAAAUAUCUACUGUUAUAUUGGAUGGUAAUUCCCAAUGGUUUUCAAUAUAUAGUUUUAUGUAUUAAACUAUACUCUGUGGUAUUUAACUAAACUUUGCUUUUAGGAAAAUAAGGGUUUUUCCUAGGAUAACUGAACUGUUCUUAAUUAGACCGUGUAACCAAUGGAUAACUAAACUAUACUUAUAAGAAAAUAUGGGAUUUUCUUGGAUAACAAACUUUUCGGAAAACUAAAGGAAACUUGUACAUUUUCAGAAAACAAACAUCUUAUGAACUCACCAGCUUUUUGCUGAAUUUCAAACUGCUUGUAUUCUCAGGUCCACAUUAGACAGGUACCAACAAUCCUUUUGGCGAAGACGGAGUACAUAGAAGACACGUCUUUACUUUUGUUCGUAUGAUACAUAUAUAUAUAUAUAUAUAUAUGUGUGUGUGUGUGUGUAUAACACAUGUAACUCUUUGUUUUCAGACAAUGUAAAUGAAUCUAUGUAAUGUAAAGUUUUGUGUUUACUAUGCUUACUAUGUACAUUGGUUGNUGGUUUCGGGGUGUGACAGAUUGGUAUCAGAGCCCUUGUUUAAAGUGAACUAGUAUACCAAACCUUACAUGGUAUAAGACUAUAAACACUAAGGGGCCUAAGUGCUCUGAACUAAAAGUAUACCUUAAAAUAUAAGUAUUUUUAAGAGUAUACAAGUAUACUUAACCGUCGAAAUCCGUAACUGCAAGUAGAACAAAACAUAAGUAAAUGGGUGUUGUACGCUACGGUUAAACCUGGGUAGUUAUGUAGUCAUGUCUAGGAUCAAUAUAGCCUGGCCAACUAUAUUCAUUCGAGACACAACCAACAUGUGCUUGGGAGUGACUGUGGUAUGCAGCAUGCCUAAAACUUGCCCAAUGCCCAAACAACGAGCCGUCGCUGCAGCGAAUCAUGAAAUACUAUGGGAGUAUUUCUCGAGCCAAAUCUAUUAUAGAAAUUCUCAUUCCAGCAUUACUCCUCAAUCAUUCCUUUAGCGAUAGUUUAUCUGCUUUGAUAACUCUUUCCUACUUUAUCGCUUAAUAGAAUGCUAUAUCUGUCUUAAUGAGAUAUCCUCUGAUCCAUAUCUUUUGAUUCAAUUCAGAGGACUUAUGAUCCUCUCUUUCAUGAUCUUUUUAGAUCAAGAUGCCUCCAAGAAAGAGACCCAGCUCAAAGAACAACAACAACCCUCUGCCGCCACCUCCUCCCCAAUUUGAUCAUGUGAUGUUCCAAGCAGCUGUUACUGCCGCAGUGGCAGCCGCCAUGUCUCAAAGGAACCCCGGUGGCCCCGGUGGUUCAGAAGGUGGUCCCCAGCCCCUAAACCAAGAUGAUAACCAAGGACACCAGAAGGAGUGUUCCCAUAAGGACUUUAUGAACGCAAAACCCACACCCUUCGAUGGCACUGGAGGUGUCAUUUCCCUAACCCGAUGGUUCGAGAAAAUCGAAUCUAUCUUUGAAAUUUGUGUCUGUUCGGAAUCUGAUAAAGUGAAGUUCGCCGCUUGUACCUUCACCGAUAAAGCCUUGACUUGGUGGAACUGCCGAGUCAAAUCCCUAACCCUACCCGUAGCCAAUUCCAUGGGUUGGGAGGCCAUGAAAGAACUUCUGCUUGCAGAGUACUGCCCACGAGGCGAGAUGCAGAAAUUAGAACAUGAACUAUGGAACCUAAAGAUGCAGGGUUCUGACUUAAUCGCUUAUACCUCUAGAUUCGAAGACUUGGCGCUGCUCUGUCCAGGAAUGGUUACUCCGGAGAGUAAGAAGAUUGAAAGAUUUAUUUGGGGGCUGACACAGCCAAAAAAAGGGAAUGUGUUGGCUGCAAAGCCAAACACUUUCGACAACGUUAAAUGUCUGGCGCAAACCCUGAUUGAUCACGAAGAUAACCUUGAUGAGGAGACCACCACUCCUGAGCUGGUUAAGAGUAGUGGUGGAAGUAAAAAGAAAUUCUGGAACAAGCGGAAGGCCCAAAGUAUACAGGGAUCCUCUAAGAAACAGCAAACGGUAGUAGUCCACGUUGCUACUGCCUCUGCUACUGUUUCUGCUGUUGGUUCCAUUGCCCAGACUCCUACCAGCAGAUAUACCGGUACCCUUCCUUGGUGCAACAAGUGCAGCUACCAUCACUGUACUCCUGGGCCAUGUCGCGAACGUCUCUGCAACAAUUGUGGCAAGAAGGGCCACCUUGCUCGAAACUGCAGAAAACCAGCCCAAUCAACAAAUCAAUAUUCCGGAGCGGGUGUCGGUCAGGCCUGCUAUAAUUGUGGUGAAGAUGGGCACUUCAAGAGGAACUGCCCCAAAGUAGCAGCAACUAGCAACACUGGAAGAGUCCUAGCUAUAGAACAAGUUGAGACAGCCGCCGAUACCACAGUUGCCACAGGUAUAUUCUUCCUCGACAGCCCUUAUAAUUACAAUCCUUUUCGAUUAUAUUGUUGAAAGAGAAUCUAUUAUUUAUUCAAUCAAACAUCAUCUUAACCUUAGUCCUCCAUUAGUAACUGAAAUGUCUACCGUCGAGGUGUCUAACAACGAGAAAGAGGAUGUUAGCGAUAGAUUCAUAGGCUGUACCCUUACCCCGGACGAUCAUUCUUUUCCCGUCGACCUAAUGCUAUUUUCCAUAGAGAGUUUUGAUGUUAUCCUUGGGAUUGAUUGAUUGAGUUCCAAUUAUGCGGAUAUCCUUUAUUACGAAAAAUCCAUCCGUCUCAACCUUCCCUCUGGUCAGACUCUCACGAUCCGUGGCGAUAAGUUUAGCUCGAAUCUUCAUAUCAUUUCCUGCGUCAAAGCUCAAAAAGGCUUCCCAGAAGGGAGUGCCAUAAAUUCCUAGCCUAUGUGACCAUCGAGAAACAGGAAGUUGCAUCCCCGAAGUCUGCAACUUUUCUGGUGUCUUUUCCCGAAGAGCUUCCAGGAAUUCCUCCCGAGUGUCGAGUCGAGUUUCACAUCGACCAAAUUCCUGGAGCUACCCUCGUAACCAAGCCGCGUAUCGAUUAGCGCCAACAGUAAUGCAGGAGUUUUCCAGUCAGCUAUGAGAUCACAGGAAUGAUGUUUCCAAAACAGCAUUCAGGACUCGAUAUAGUCACUACGAAGAUGUAGUGAUGCCCUUCGGUCUAAUCAUUUUCUUUGACCAUGUAGUAAUCGAAGAAGGCAUGUUACCUUCUGAAACCUGAAUCCCGAGGUACAUAGAACUUUUUGAAAUCCUCAUUAGGAUCAAUCCCGUAGCCAACAAACUCCGACUACCCUCAGAAACUUAGCAGCAUCCAUCCGGUAUUUCACGUCUCUGGUCUUAAGAAGUGUCUACCCGAUGAAACCACAGUAAUCUAUUUGAUGAGACCGAAAUCAAUGGAAGUCUGAACUUCAUGGUAAAACCAAUAAAAAACAUAGAUCAAGAGGUUAAACGUAUGAAACAAUCCGUAUCCCGAUAAGUGAAAGGUUCCCCGAAAUGGCAUGCGAGAAUCCAAAUUCACUAGGAAGCGUGAUGAUCCAAUAGAACAGAAGUAUCCGUAUUCUCUUUCCAAAUUCGCGAGUCGCAUCUAAAGUUUGAAUUUCGGGACGAAAUUCCCACUAACGGGGGGAUAAUGUGACAACCCAAAGUUUGUUCCGUCGUCGUAACCCGGUUCCAUUAAUAAAGUCGUUACGUUCCAAAAUUUUCCGUUAACUUUGUUUUCAUUUAAUUUGUUUGCGACUUCUAUUUAAAUUUCAUAAGUGUCGGGAUACAUUUUAAUUCAUUAAAAUAUUUUCUAUUUUCAUUUAGAAAAUAUUUAGUUUCAUCUAAGUCAUAAUUACGGUAAAUUAAUCGGGUGCGACCAAAAGCCUCGUCUAACGUCAGUAUCGGGUAGAAUUCCACCGUGACCCAAACUUUGAGCAUAUAUAAAGUUGAGAGAGCCUCAUUUGAAACCUUUUCCACACUCUCUCUCUCUACUCUCUCUCUACUUUCUCUCUCUAAAACUCGAAAUCAAGCCAAAAUCAUCCAAAUCAAGCUCCAAAUCAUCAAGGUAACUAUCCUAGCUCCUAGUAUAACACCUUUGGCCUUCAAAUUCGUGAAAUAUAUGAGGAAUAGGACCAUAAACAUGUGUUUACGGUCCUAGAACCUCCUUAGGCCUUGAACACAUGUAAUAAGGGGUUUUGAGCCUUAAAACCCUUCCAAACCUCAUUUGGAGCUUAGAUAUGACUAAGGGACUUAUUUGCAUGGACUUAGAAUACCUUUAACUCAUCAUUUGGGGCAUAAGAAUGAGUUUACGGUCCAAGCACAUGCUUGGACCGUAAACACCUAUUCUUGGGGAGUAAACUCAAUUUAAGGUGUUAGUUUGCCCCUAAACACCUCCAACAAGCUUCCAUGAGAGUAUAGAACCUUAUAAUCCUUCAAGAAAUGCACCAAAACUUACACAAAUGGGACAAGCUUGAGUUUACGGUCCAAGAACAUUCUUAGACCGUAAACUCAUCUCCUUAGACCUUAAACUCAUCCAGUGGGUGUUAAACUGGCCUUAACACCUUGUAUGGUUUAGAAAUGGGUCUAGAACUUAGUAUGCUUGACUUUCAACCACCAAAACACAUGAAUCAUGGACAAACAUGAGUUUACGGUUGUAAACUCAUGUGUUUAAGGUAGUAAACUCCCAAGAACAUCUUCAUAGACCGUAAACUACUUUUCCAAGGUCAAUUCAAGUCCCAAACACUUCCUAAGCCAUGGAAUCAACCCUAGAACCUUCCUAUGUGCAUUGUAAUGACCUAGGACCACCAAAACAUCAAGGGAUUGAGUGUGGGGGAGUUUACGGCCGUAAACUCCUAGUUUACUGCCGUAAACUCCAUUAAAUGGUCCAUAUGUGAGUUUAAUCCAUUCCUAUGCCCUAGAUUUGAUCCUAGCUAAUUUUCCCAAGUGAUAUAAGGCCAUUUAGCAUCAUAGAACACCCCACCAUGAGUUUAUGGACGUAAACUCAUGGGGAGAGGGUCAUUAGGGCCGUAAAACCUCUUAUGAGUUUACUCUUGAGGAUUAAGCUCCAUAUCCAAGCCUUAUACAUCCUUAGAUGUCACCCGGGUCACUCCAAAGACUUAUUUUGAAGUGUUUUCGCGUCUUGGAGUGUAUAAUCUUAUCUAAUUAGUGAUUCAAAGUCUAAUUAGAUACAAUUGUGUAUCAUUUCAUAUUACAUAGGAACCUUACGCGUUAUCAAGCCCCGAUCUGACAUUUAGCAUCCUAGACGACACGUUCUUCGACUGGUGAGUUCAUACCCCUAAGCCUUUUUCCGUGUUUUCCAAUGUUUUUAGGGGGGAAUACAAGCAAAUUAUAAAUGUUUUCAAAACCUAAAACUGAUGUAAUUCUAUAUUUAUCUGGCUAACUUUUAGAUAUCUUUACCCCUUAUGUAUUAUGCUGAGCAUAAGGGAUGUUUUUAUCGAUUAUAACUACAUGGAUUUCAGUAAAGGAAACAAAUCAAAUCAAUCAAAUUAUUAUGGGAAUAAUUUGGGAUCUUUAGUUCUUACUUAACAAGCACAGAUUUAUGUAAAGCUUUUAGAUAAACUAUGUCUGAUUCAGUUUAUCUCUGUUUAAUUUAAUUUAGAGUAUUUUUCCAGAUAAUUCCAUUGUAUUUAACUGUUUUCACUGUAUUAUGUUUCAAAACGAUUAGUAUGUUUGAUAACGUCUGAAAACACCGUGAGUAAUUUAAUACUAGCUUGUGAGAUUCGUCAUUACCCAUUGGGAUAUCAGUAAAUCCUCCCCGGAAGUGUAACCAAAGUCUCCAAGAGGGAGAGCGUGGAAUUUGUGAAUAGAUCUAUUCGGGACUGACAAUCCCACACCUAAACUACUAGCUACAGUUACGCGGGCACGCCUGGGGUGACAAAUUUUGGAUAUCGUCCGACUUCUGAUGAACGUCAAGGAGGUCUCGGUGACGCAUCAGCAUUGUUACCCGACUCACAAUACGUAUUAACAUAAGUUUAUUGACAGAUUUGAUUUUAUAUCUAUCUUCAAUCUAUAAUAUCUAUAUCUAGUACGGGAUGUAAAUCCCAUGGUUUUUGAAUCUAUAUCUAGUACGGGAUGUAAAUCCCAUGGUUUUUGAAUCUAUAUCUAGUACGGGAUGGUAAUACCAUGGUUUUGAAUCUAUAUCUAGUACGGGAUGUUAAUCCCAUGGUUUUGAAUCUAUAUCUAGUACGGGAUGGUAAUCCCAUGGUUUUGAAUCUAUAUCUAUAUCUAGUACGGGAUGGUAUUCCCUUGGCUUUUAAAUCUAUAGUUUUGCGUAUUAAAAACUAUUUUAUAUCUAGUACGGCAUGGUAUUCCCAUGGCUUUCAAUCUAUAGUCUUAUAAAAUAAUAACUAUUUUAUAUCUAGUACGGGUUAAUAUUCCCAUGGUUCUCAAUCAAUAUUUUUAUGUAUUAAAAAUAUCUACUGUUAUACUGGAUGGUAAUUCCCAAUGGUUUUCAAUAUAUAGUUUUAUGUAUUAAACUAUACUCUGUGGUAUUUAACUAAACUUUGCUUUUAGGAAAAUAAGGGUUUUUCCUAGGAUAACUGAACUGUUCUUAAUUAGACCGUGUAACCAAUGGAUAACUAAACUAUACUUAUAAGAAAAUAUGGGAUUUUCUUGGAUAACAAACUUUUCGGAAAACUAAAGGAAACUUGUACAUUUUCAGAAAACAAACAUCUUAUGAACCCACCAGCUUUAUGUUGAUUUUCAAACUGCUUGUAUUCUCAGGUCCACAUUAGACAGGUACCAACGAUCCUUUUGGCGAAGACGGAGUACGUAGAAGACACGUCUUUACUUUUGUUCAUACGAUAUGUAUAUGUAUAAUGCAUGUAACUCUUUGUUUUCAGACAAUGUAAAUGAAUCUAUGUAAUGUAAAGUUUUGUGUUUACUAUGCUUACUAUGUACAUUGGUUGUGAUAUUCAUGACGUCCUCCGCCCCGGAACGUUUCCGCCUUUGGUUUCGGGGUGUGACAUCAUUGGACAAGAAUUUGUUUAAGUUUGAUAGAUGAAAUGUAGGAUGUAUGUUAUUUAGUUCAUGCGGUAAUCAAAGCUUGUAUCCUACCGGGCCGAUUCUGGCAAGGAUCUCGAAUGGCCUGAUAUAUCUUGGAUUUAGUUUCCCACGUUUUCCAAAACAUAUUAACCCUUCCAGGGUGAGACCUUCCAUAGAACCCGGUCUGCAACCUAAAAUUCCAAGGGCUUCCGUCUCUUGUCCGCAUAACUCUUUUUUCUAUCUUUUGAAGCUUUUAGCCGUUCUCGGAUUUGGACAAUCCUCUUGGUCGUCUCUGUGACGAUUUCCAGGCCGGUGAGAGUGUUGUCAGGUACUUGUCCUUUAGCUAGUUGCGUGUCGCCUACUUCGGCCCAACACAGAGGUGAUCUGCACUUGCGACCGUAGAGGGCUUCGAAUGGAGCAACCUUGAUGCUAGUGUGAUAGCUAUUGUUGUAUGAGAACUCGACUAGCGGUAAAUGGGUAUCCCAGGCCUUACCAAAAUCAAUCACACAAGCUCUUAGCAUAUCUUCCAAAGUCUGAAUGGUCCUCUCACACUAACCGUUAGUUUGUAGAUGGUAAGCGGUACUCAUGUCUAGUCUCGUCCCUAUAGAUUUUUGUAGUGACUGCUCGAAUAGCGAGGUGAAUCUACUAUCUUUGUCAGAGAUAAUUGAUAUAGGUACACCAUGCAGUCGUACAAUCUCUCUGAUGUAUGUUCAAGCUAGUUUCUCCAUCUUGUCAGUUUCUUUUAUAGGUAGGAAGUGCGCGGAUUUGGUUAGUCUGUCGACGAUCACCCAGAUGGUGUCAAGUCCACCCGCUGUUUUGGGUAACUUCGUUAUGAAAUCCAUGGUCAUCUUCUCCCACUUCCACUUGGGUAUUUCGGUUUGUUGUAACAAUCCCGAGGGCUUUUGGUACUCUACUUUGACUUUGGUGCAAGUCAGACACUUGCCUAUAUAGGCAGCAAAUUCGGCUUUCAUGUUCGGCCACCAAUACAGUUUCUUGAGGUCCAGAUACAUAUUGUCUGCACCGGGAGGCACAAAGUAUCGAGUCUUAUGAGCCUCAUUGAUGACAACGUCUCUGAAUCCACCAAACUUCGGUGUCCAGAUUCGAUUCAUGAAGUAACGAACUCCAUCACCCUUGACUUCAAGGUUCUUAUCCAUUCCUCUUAAGGCUUCGCCAACCACGUUUUCUAUUUUCAAGGCUUCCUUUUGAGCUUCCUUGAUUUGCGUGGAUAGGUGUGAAUGGAUUUUCAUGGAUAAGGAUUUAACUCGGGUGCCCGAUUAUUCCUUUCAACUGAGGGAAUCAGCUACUACAUUAGCUUUUCCCGGAUGAUAACGAAUCUUGCAUUCAUAAUCGCUUAAUAGCUCAACCCAUCGUCUCUGUCUCAUGUUGAGUUAUUUUUGGUUGAGAAUGUGCUGAAGGCUCUUAUGAUCGGUGAAGAUUGUGCAUUUUGUGUCGUAGAUAUAAUGUCUCCAGAUCUUUAGGGCGAAAACGACUGCUCCUAGUUCUAGGUCGUAGGUAGUGUAGUUGACUUCGUGCGUCUUGAGUUGCCUCGAGGCGUAUGCGAUGACCUUUCCUCGUUGCAUGAGAAGACAUCCCAAACCUUUGUUUGAUACGUCACAGUAGACAACAAAGUCUUCUAUUCCUUCUGGCAGGGAUAAUAUAGGUGUGCUGCAUAGGGCUUGUUUCAACGUCUGAAACGUAGUGUCUUUCUUUUCUCCCCAGUUUUAGGUUACACCCUUCUAUGUCAAGGCAGUAAGUGGUUUGGAAAUCUUCGAGAAGUUUUGUAUGAAUCUUUAGUAAUAGCCUGCAAGGCUCAAGAAUUGUUGGAUUUCUGUUGGAGUUCUUGGUGCUGACUAGUUCUCGAUUGCCUUGAUUUUGGAAGGGUCCACGUGUAUCCGCUCCUUGCUGACCAUGUGACCAAGGAAAUCUUCUUUCCGAAUCCAAAAUUCACACUUUGAGAAUUUUUCGUAUAGUUUCUCUUUCCUUAGUGCUUACAAGAUCUAUCAGAGGUGUUGACUAUGUUCUUCUUUGGUCUUUGAAUAGAUGAGUAUAUCGUCUACGAACAGAAUCACAAAUUUGUUUAGGAAAGAACGACAUACUAUGUUCAUUAAAUCCAUGAACACCGCCGGUGCAUUUGUUAAUCCAAAGGGCAUCACUACAAACUCAUAGUGACCAUAACGAGUUCGGAAGGCCGUCUUGGGGACAUCUCCUUCCAGGACUCGCAGCUGAUGGUACCCAGAUCUUAAAUCGAUCUUUGAUAAGUAGCUUGCUCCUUGGAGUUGGUCGAACAGAUCAUCUAUGCACAGUAGAGGAUACCUGUUCUUGAUCGUGAGUUUGUUCAGUUCUCGGUAGUCGAUGCACAUGCGAAAGGAUCCAUCCUUCUUCUUCACGAAUAGGACUGGUGCUCCCCAAGAUGAGAAGCUUGGCUUGAUAAAUCCUUUAUUGAGUAGUUGGUUUAGUUGGUUGGAUAAUUAUUGCAUCUCUGCCGGGGCUAGACGGUACGACGAUUUUGCUACUGGGGUAGCUCUGGGAAGCAAGUCGAUCCUGAACUCGACUUGACGUUCUGGGGGAGCUCCUAGAAGAUUUUCAGGGAAGACCUCGGGGAAAUCGCAGACUUCUGGAAUGUCUUUGAUGUCUUUCGUUUCUUGUUCCUUAUCUACCACAUGGGCUAGGAAAGCAUGGUAUUCUUUGCGCAGGUAUUUUUAGGCUUUGACGCAAGAGAUGAUUUGUAAAUUUGUACCGGGUUUAUCACCAUAAAUUAUAAGAGUUUCACCAUUUGGCAGAUUAAGGUGAACGACCCUUUCGUGACAAAGUAUAUCGGCAUGGUGAAGGCUUAACCAAUUUAUACCGAUGAUGACAUCAAAGCUUCUUAUAGUGAUUGGCAUUAGAUCGAUUUAAAACGAGUGUUCAUUUAAAUCUAGCUUGCAGCCUAUGUACAUAUCGUUUGUGCUUUCUGUUUUACCGUUUGCCAUUUCUACUGGAAAUAUCUUAUUAAGUGAUUGGGGGUUUUGCUUAAAUAAGUGUUUGAAUUCAUGGUUCACGAAACUCCUCUCCACACCACAAUCAAAAAGUAUGCAUGCAUAAGCGCCAUUGAGGAGAAAUGUACCCGUAACCACCGUAGGAUCAGCUAUUGCUUCGUUCUGCCCUAUUGCUAACACCCUUCCUACACCGCCAGUAUUCCUUGAAAUAGGGUAGUCUCUUUUGUAGUGCCCAGCUUCGCCACAACCAUAACAUGCCUGGCCCACCCCGACUCCAAGAACUUGGGUGAUUGGUUGUGUUGGUGCCUUAUAGAAACGGGCAGUGUGCCCUUUCCUGUUGCAGUUAAUACAGUGCAUCAUCCUACAAUUUCCGAUGUGAUGGUAAUUGCAUGUGCUGCACUUUGGUAGGUUUCCAGCAUAUUGCUUUGCUGGUGCAGGAGUGACAGGGACAGCGGUGGGAGUAAUAGCGGCAUGAACUGUCACUAGCUGCUGUUUCUUGGAAGGUUCUUGCGAAGGUUGACCCUUCCUCUUGUUCCAAAACUUCUUCCUGUUGUUGUUGUUGGUAUCAUUGAUUUUAAUAUUCGAUACAUCGAUCAGGAAAAUUUGACCUUAACAAAGGUCUAGAGUACAUCAAUGAAAAUGGGAAAAUUUGACCGCAUUCAGGCCCUCGAAUUGUGUACUCACAAUCCGCCGAGCAUACAUACAGAGUAGCACCAACGCUCACUCGAUAAGUAUAUAUGCAUAACAGAAGAAUCAUGCGCUCUACUCCGAGCGGGUGGUACGUUGCAGACCACGGCAUGUCGUGGAAGUCCGAGCUCGAUUUACUUGAUGUUCAACAUCGAUGACACGCCUCUCCAUUGCGGCUUGGUUCUUCCGAAACUCCCUUACUUCAGCUCUAGCAGUGGUAAUGUCUUUCUGGAGGGAAAAGGUGUGCUCUAUAAUGCGAUCAUGUUCUUUGUCCAGGCGACAAAGACGUACCGCAGCGAUCUGGGCAGUGCACCAACGUCCAGCAUUUGGCUGGCGUUUAUCCGUGUUUGCUCACCUAGAUUGGCGAUGCGACGAACCAUGACAGGGAGUGCCCUGUCCGCUGAACCCCCGUUACGGAGGUCAUAAAAGCCUUGCGCCAUGCUGUAGGGUGGACAUUGUCCUUGUUCCCUGCUCCAUUGUUUCAGAUCUACAGCCUAGAGGGGCACCGAGCUCUGAAAGUCUCGCUAGAGGUCUGGUACUACCUGGGGAGGAUUGUAGACCUCAGGUUCGGAGUCAGUGCCCUCAUCAUCGGCAUCCUCUUCCUCUUCUUCGGGAUCCUUGUCUGGCUCCUCCGCGGAAAUCUCUUCGGGGUCCUCUUCUGGAUCCUCCUCAAUCCAACCCCCAUUGCCUUGGUUUGGGUAGUAGUGACCCGGGGAUGUGAAAUCCUGCCAUUUUGCCUGAUCGAGAAUAGAGAUACGAGAAUUAUAUAGAAUUUGAGUGUAAGAAGAAAAUUUCAUGAUAAGACCUACACCGAGUCUUCUAUAAUUACCUAGUGUAUACGAAUUACAUACAAUUGAGAUUGAAUGGACCGUUGGAUAAGUAGUUUCACUCCAUGCCCACAUCCAAACAAGGAAAAGAGAUUAAAGCGAAAACAUAAGUCCUAAGCCCAUGCAACCUCACUCAUGUGUAACCUUGAAGUAUGCACUUUGCAAUUAUAGCCUUGUCAGCGAAGGUUUUUAGUUGUUAUAAGUUUAAUUUUUAUUCUAUUUGACGAUCCUAAUCCUAACAAAACGUCGGCGUUUACUCGCUUGUUAUAGUUUUUAUUUUGUCAUAAAUACUCCUAUAGCAUUUAAAUUUGAAAUUUUAAUAUUAGUGUUACUUUAGUAAGUUUUUGACUUGUUGCUUACUAUGACUAUUCCCCGACAUACGUUGGUCAUAUCUCGGAAAAAUAUAGUUGAUCAGGCUAUAUUCAUCCUAGAUCUGAUCACAUACUCCGAGGUUUAACCAUAGUGUCCAACAUGUGAUAAUGCUUUUGUAUGCUUCUAACUAUGACAUUAAACUGUUGCAUGCAUGUAUUUGUACGUUUAUGAAAACUAGCAUUUUAAUUAAAUGAAGUAUGGUAGGAGUGAAAGUGUUUUGUCAGAGGGUUUUAUUCCCUUUGAAUUUAUAGUUUGUAUAUCUUAUGUUGUUCGAUAUAUUUAGUUCACUAUAAACAAUGCUCUGAUACCAAUCUGUCACACCCCCAAACCAGAACGGCGGAAUCGUUCGAGGGCGGAUGACUUCAUGUAUCAUAACAGUUGAAUAGAUAGUAAAGAAAGCAAACACAACCAUCAUAAAUAUAAUUUAAAAAGUUACAUUGUUGAUUGUAUUACAUAUUUUAAAAGAAAUUACAUUAUGAUAAUAUAAUAACUUUGAAAUUGACGCGUUAGCAUCCCUUCCCAAAUGCAGUUGUUACUUGUAUUACUGAAUCCCUGAGAAAUACAAGUAGUUUUGAAAAAGUGUCAACAAUUAUGUUGGUGAGUUCAUAAGAAUUUUUGUAUAAGAAUUGUAUGCCUUUUUGUAUAAAGCGAUUGUGUUUGUAUCUAGAAAAUCCAAUAUUUUCCAUAAAUGAAUAGUAGUUUUUAAAUGAUUCAAUAACGAAAUGCGUAAGUAUUUUCUAUACCUAAAAUAGUGUAAGUAGAUUUAUAUAUGUAUAUAAAAUCACUAAGGCAUUUGAUAGCCUCGUAAAUCAAAUGUUUUAAUACUUCAUGCGAGUUUUAUAAAUGUACUAUUGACCAGACUGCUUGUUACAACGUUCUUCAGGUGUUGGAAUGAUAUGACAUUUGUAAAAAAAAAUGUUACUCUAUGUAUUUGACAUUUAUACACCAAAUGUAGAUAAAGUAUUUAAAACUAUAUGUAACGAUUUGCAUUUUAACAUAAGAUUUUCUUGCGUUUCACUUGUAUUUCUCCCCCUAAAAUAUAGUAAAAGCGUGAAGAUAUGGGGGUAUGAACUCACCUAGAAAGAUUGAUGAUUUGAAGAAAACGAGAUUUGUUGCGAGCAACACUAUGAUUGGAAGCAAGUGAGUUUCUCGGGUAUUUCGAAGCUUCGGACCUUCGUCGGUACUUGGAUACGUAAUCGGGGUGUCAGGGUAGUCUCGAGGGGCUCGAAAGUGAAAAGUGGGAGAGAAAGGAGGUAAAUUAACAAAAAUGGCCGACACCCUCGCAUCCUUUUUAUAGGGGUGUGAGAGGCUUCGUACGCUUGGCAUACUCCGGAGUUACGCGAGGCAUACGUCAUGCAUGAAGCCUUCCUCGUUUGUCGGACUUCGGAUGGGACGGGGGUAGGGGCGUAGGGGAGACGUGGCUGAUCCGAGACCCCGUAUGACUACGCUGGACGUACUCCGAAGUUACGUCGGGCGUAACCCUCCUCUAUUUGUGUGCCUCAAACUUCUAAAAUGUGUAACUUUAGCAUACGAGCUCCGUUUUUGACGUUUUUUAUAUCCACGCGUAGGUGAAAAUAUACUCUACAACUCUUGUUUUGACUUCGUCGGCAAAUUUUGAUUUUAUUUUUAAUUAUAUAUUUUUAAUAGGCCAAGGACACAAAAAGUCCGUUAAAAAUACACAACUUUUUCAUCUGAUAUCUGUUUUCAUCAGACUUUUUAUCGUUGUGCUACUAUUGAUGAGAUCUUCGAUUCUCGUUUAGGUUGUGUCGGCUAACUAUCGCUCGAUCUCAAUUUCGAGUUUUAGCUGUCUACCACUACUCCGAAACUUAGAAAAAUCCUAACUUCCUCAUACGAAGUCAGAUUUGGACGUUCUUUCUAUGUAUCUUCACGUUUAAAGAUAUCUACGACAUUCGUUUAGGUACUUAAGGCUAAAAAGUAUUUUAUUAAAAUUUCGCGUUUUACGCUUUAAUAGUUUAUUACCGGUUUUGCUGCGGAUUUUCGAUUGGUCAUAAUUUCUUAAUUAAAACUCGGAUUUUUGUGUUCUUUAUAUUUCUGAAAACAUAGUUACAAGAUCUAAUACUUUAUGUAUCCCAAUUGAGACUUUUGAUAUUUUCAUUUCUGACGCUAUUUUUAUUUAUUUACUAAUUCAAAAUAGAUUACAAUAUUUGGCUUAUGUCAUUACAUUGACUUGAAAUACCGGAUUGUCACAGCUUCUUUGAUCCGUACACAACACAUAUAUAAACUUAAUUGUGACAAUGAAAACAUUAUCAUAUGGAAUGUGAUCGGUACAAAACACAUAUAUAAACGAGACGAGUAGAAUACCACCACAUGACUUCAUUACAUAAUAAUUAUCAAGGUUUUAUUAAUUACUAUAUAAAUAAUAGGUGUAUUCAAAAACCAUACUUAAGAUCAUUCACUUUCAACAGUGGCUGUCAUAAUUGGGUUAUUUUGCUUGCCCCCAUCAUAAUUGAUUGCUUUAUGGAGAAUGAUUGAUUGAAUGGGAUUUGUAUGCGAUUUGAAGUUGAUAUAUCACAAACCGACUUUAUACAUAUCAGUGGGUAAACGAGGGCCAAAAAGAACAUCAAGUGGUGUUGCUUUGCCAUUAGUCGCCCCCAUGCUUUCAGUCAUAUCAACAGGUUCGUCUGAUGGUUUUUUGAGCACAAACUGUUGUAUCAAAUGAGCUAGCGUUAAACCCAAAACCUGAAGGGCAAAUAAAACACCAGGGCGAUUCUUCUACCACUACCAAAAGGAAGCAAUUCAUAAUGGUUUCCCUUGACAUCGAUAUCCUUCUGACUGGUCAAGAAUCUCUCAGGCUUGAAUUCUGUGGGAUCAGACCAUAUAUUUGGGUCACGUUGCAACUUCCAAAGAUUUACCAAAAGACGAGUUCCUUUUGGAAUGUUGUAGCCACCCACAAUGCAGUCAUCCAGUGACUCGUGAGGAACAGCGAGAGGUCCAGCUGGGUAUAAUCGUAAUGUUUCUUUGAUGAUGGCAUUGAGGUAGAUAAGUUCUUUAGGUCUGACUCCUCCACCAAUCUGUCCCUUCCAACAUGCUCAUCAAUUUCAUCUUGCGCAAUUUUUAAUGUUUUUGGGUGGUUGAGCAACAAUGAUAAAGCCCAGGUUAAUGUCACAGAUGUCGUGUCAACGCCUGCU